UGAUGCUGAUAUGGAAGAGCAGGUCAAAGAUAGAGAUGUCAAUCUUGCUGGUGAUGGUGGCAAGAAUCCUGACAAUGUUGGGGAGCAAGUUGAGAAGACAGUGAGGGUUGUUGAAGGAAACGCUUCUGGUGAUGCUACUGUUGACCAUGUCACCGAGGAUAAAAAGCCCAUGAAGAAGAAAAUAAUAAAAAAGGNNNNNNNNNNNNNNNNNNNNNNNNNNNNNNNNNNNNNNNNNNNNNNNNNNNNNNNNNNNNNNNNNNNNNNNNNNNNNNNNNNNNNNNNNNNNNNNNNNNNNNNNNNNNNNNNNNNNNNNNNNNNNNNNNNNNNNNNNNNNNNNNNNNNNNNNNNGAAAAUAAUAAAAAAGGUUGUGAAAGUUGUUCGAAAAAAGCCAACUGCUGAAGCUCCAGUGGAUAAAUCGCCUCAGGUUGACAAGAAUGCCGUGGCAGAAACUGCGAGCAAAACCGUCGAAAAGCACAUUGAACAAAAAAGUGAAGAUCUUGGGGAAGAGAAGGCGGGAGCUGGCAUUGGUCAACAGCCUGAGGCUAAGAAAACUGGGAAGAAGAAGGUAAUUCGAAGGAUUGUUAAAAGAAAAGUUCCUGCUUCAGCGACUGAGCCAACAGCCCUUGCUGCACCUGCUGAAGCAAGUAAACAAGAUGUGGCUGUUCAGCCGGAGAAGUUUGAUGAAGUCCCCACCGAUGCUGGGAAUUCACAGACUAAACUGGAAGAAGGAUUGAAAACUCCUGCNNNNNNNNNNNNNNNNNNNNNNNNNNNNNNNNNNNNNNNNNNNNNNNNNNNNNNNNNNNNNNNNNNNNNNNNNNNNNNNNNNNNNNNNNNNNNNNNNNNNUCGGUAAUCCGCAGCCAGACACCAGUAGUCUGUAAGGCUUAUAUCUCGGAAAUCCGGCUCCCUCCGGACGUCCGAGGGCCGAACGCCUGAGGGCCGAACGUCCGACUGGCUUCGGUAAUCCGCAGCCAUACACCAGUAGUCUGUAAGGCUUAUAUCUCGGAAAUCCGGCUCCCUCCGGACGUCCGAGGGCCGGACGUCCGGCCAAGCUCCGAAAAUCCGGAAGUCAACACCAGUAGAAUGUGUGCACUAUAUCUCGGAAAUCCGGCUCCCUCCGGAUGCCCGAGCGCCGGAUGUCCGACACACAUCGGAAAUCCGGAAGCCACCACGAGUAGAACUUGUGCUGUAUAACACGAACUUCCGGGCCACUCCGGACGUCCGUAUGCUGAUGAAUUCAAAUAUGUUCAGGAACACCUACAGGCCUCGGACGACCGACCACUGUCAGACGUCCGGCCGCUGAUGAAUUCAGAAGAGUUCCAGUCAUGCCUACAGGUCUCGGACGACCGACCCCUGUCGGACGUCCGGACCCUCACGGACGCCCGGACUUCCGACAAGUGUCGGACGUCCGGACCCUGUGUGACUUAUUGCACCUCCAACGGCUGGAUUUCACUCCACACUAUAAAUACUCUUCUCCCACCUCGUGAAAGGGUGUUCAACACAGCUAAGACACAUCCAAGAACACCUUUCCUCUCACUCACUCUUGUCUACACCAAAUCCUAGAUCCCAAGAGCAUUUGUGAGUCCUUUUGAGUGUUGUUCCAAUCAAAAGAUAGAUCGUCUCCCUCUCCUCCUUCCCACCAAAGUGAUUCGUGAUUUGAGCAAGUUUUGAGCAAUCCCCGUGAUCUUGUUACUCUUGGAGGUUGGAGACUCCUAGGCGGUAGGAGUCUUCGGAGAGGAAUCAAACCAUUGUGAUUUCCCCCGGAAAGUUUGUGAAGGUUUGGAAGCCACCUCAAGGCUUACCACUAGUGGUUGAGAAACGCCUUCGUGGAGUUAUCUCAAAGGGAGAAUAGGGUGAGCCUUCGUGGCGUUGGUGUGCCUUCGUGGUAACAUCCGCCCCUCUAACGGUGACGUAGCUUCCCUCCAAGGAAGUGAACAUCGGGAUACAUCCUUGUCUCUCUCGGAGUUUCGGUUAUUCCUAACCCUAACUCUCUACUUGUGUUAAUCCUUAUUACAUACUUGUAUUUUCUUAUUGUUUACGGCUUGCCUUGUUUCACUCCUAAUAGUUUACUCUUUGUCAUAGCAAUUAUUAGGCUUACACUUAUAUUCCGCACUUUAGCCUAAAAUUGCCAAGUAAUUAUUAAAAUUUGGAUUUGUACCUAUUCACNNNNNNNNNNNNNNNNNNNNNNNNNNNNNNNNNNNNNNNNNNNNNNNNNNNNNNNNNNNNNNNNNNNNNNNNNNNNNNNNNNNNNNNNNNNNNNNNNNNNUCCAGUUGAAGAGAAAGUCAUUGCCUAUAAUGAUCCUAUUGUUCCCAGUGCUUACAUUGAGAAACCACCUUUCCCUGUUAGGAUAAAGGAUCAUUCUAAAGCUUCAACUGUUAUACGUAGAGGCUAUAUUAGAACACCUACACCCCCUGAGCAAAUUAGAGCUGAACCUAGCAUUGCUAUCAUCAAAGAUCUUCUGUCCGAUGAUGUUGAGGGACAUAAUAUUCACUUCGGUGAAGAUGCUGCUAGAAUUGCUAAACCUCACGCUAGAGACAAACAUGGGCAUGUUGUUGGCAUGCAUGUUGUUUCUGUUAAGAUAGGAGAUCAUUGUUAUCAUGGUUUAUGUGAUGUGGGUGCUAGUGUUAGUGCAAUACCUCAAUCCUUAUAUGAUGAAAUCAAAGACGAGAUUGCACCUAUUGAGAUAGAGCCUAUUGAUGUCACUAUUAAGCUUGCCAAUAGAGAUACUAUCUGCCCUGUGGGAAUUGUUAGGGAUGUNNNNNNNNNNNNNNNNNNNNNNNNNNNNNNNNNNNNNNNNNNNNNNNNNNNNNNNNNNNNNNNNNNNNNNNNNNNNNNNNNNNNNNNNNNNNNNNNNNNNNNNNNNNNNNNNNNNNNNNNNNNNNNNNNNNNNNNNNNNNNNNNNNNNNNNNNNNNNNNNNNNNNNNNNNNNNNNNNNNNNNNNNNNUUCCUCGUUCUUGCUACCGCACAAGACAGCCUUUGUCCCAUCAUAUUUGGCAGACCCUUCCUCAAUACUGUCAAUGCUCAUAUUGAUUGUGAGAAGCAAAAUGUCACUGUUGGCUUCGAAGGUGUGUCACAUGAGUUCAAUUUCUGUAAGUUUGGUAGACAACCUCAUGAAAAGGAGUUGCCUAGUAGGGAUGAAACUAUUGCCUUAGCCUCUAUUGUUGUGCCUCCUACUGAUCCCUUAGAGCAAUACUUGCUUGAGCAUGAAAAUGAUAUGCAUAUGGAUGAAAGGGAUGAGAUAGAUAGAGUUGUCUUAGAACAAUAUCCUAUCCUUCAGAAUAACUUGCAUGUUGAACUGCUUGGGGAUCCACCCCCACCAAAGGGUGAUCCUAUGUUCGAGCUUAAACAGUUGCCUGAUACUCUUAAGUAUGCUUAUCUUGAUGAAAAAGAGAUAUAUCCUGUUAUUAUUAGUGCUAGCCUCUUAGAGCAUGAAGAAACUAAGUUACUAAAAACUCUCAGGAAGCACCGUGCUGCUAUUGGAUAUACUCUUGAUGAUCUUAAGGGCAUUAGUCCUACUCUAUGCCAUCACAAGAUUAAAACUGAUCCUGACUUCAAACCAGUUGCUGAUCAUCAAAGGAGAUUGAAUCCUAAGAUGAAAGAAGUAGUGAGAAAAGAAAUACUAAAGCUCCUGGAAGCAUGUAUCAUUUAUCCUGUUGCUCAUAGUGAUUGGGUGAGUCCGGUGCAUUGCGACCCUAAGAACGGAGGCAUUACCGUUGUCCCUAAUGAUAAGGAUGAAUUGAUCCCUGCUACUGCAACAAAAGACCUUCCAACGGCGCCAGAAGCGUGCUGACGGGAGACUGUUCAUGUCUUGAUACUCCUCAGCAACGGCACCAGGAAUCCUUCUGCUACGGCUACGCCUUAAGGGACUUCCUAGGCAAAUAUGCAAAGGAUUUCCCCCGUGGCCUUGGAGCCUUGUUGGUGUUCCCUCGAAGUGGAAAGGGUGAUGUAGCGCAGCGGUGGUAAGUAUUUCCCUCAGUUUGAGAACCAAGGUAUCGAUCCAGUGAAGGAGUAUCUCAAGUGCCUGCACAAACACAAAAAGCUUGCUCCCAACGCUAUGAAGGGGUUGUCAAUCCCUUAUAGAUUGUUCGCCAAGUAAGAACUGAAAGCAACAAAGUAACAAAGCAAAGUAAAAGCANUAUCCAGCAUGCAUCUAGUGUAUUAAGUCCAAAAGAACAGAGUAACGCCUUAAGCAAGAUGACAUGAUGUAGAUGGACAAUCUCAUAUCUACGACAAAGCCCACCUUGUUACCCUUGAUGGCAACUACACGAUGUGUGCCUUGCUGCCCCUACUAUCACUGGGAAAGGUCACCACACGGUAAGAACCCAAAACCAAGCACUUCUCCCAUUGCAAAAAUCAUAGAUCUAGUUGGCCAAACAAAACCCAAGACUCGGAGAGACUUACAAGGAUAUCAAAUCAUGCAUAUAAGAAAUCAGCAAAGACUCAAAUAUAUAUCAUAGAUAAUCUAAUCACAAAUCCACAAUUCAUCGGAUAUCAACGAACACACCGCCAAAGAGGAUUACAUCGGAUAGAUCUCCAUGAAGAUCAUGGAGAACUUUGUAUUGAAGAUCCAAGAGAGAGAAGAAGCCAUCUAGCUAGUAACUACGGACCCGUAGGUCUGAAGUGAACUACUCACAAGUCAUUGGAGGGGCGAUGAUGUUGAUGUAGAAGCCCUCCAACUCCAAAGUCCCCUCCGGCAGGGCACCGGGAAGGGUCUCCAGAUGAGAUCUCGCGGAAACGGAAGCUUGCGACGGCGGAAAAGUGUUUUCGAGGAUUCCCUGAUUUUUUUCUGUAUUUUAGGGAAUAUAUAGGCGAAGGAGCUAGGUCAGGGGGGCGCCAGGGAGGCCACAAUCCUGCUGGCCGCCGCCCCCAUGGCGGCGGCUAGGGGGCUUGUGGGCCCCUUGUAGCCCUCCUGGCUUGGCCCUCAAGCCCCCUGAUCUUCUUCCAGUCGGGAAAAUUUUAUUUUUGGGAUUUUAUUCCGUUUGGACUCCGUUCCAAAAUCAGAUCUGAAAAGAGCCAAAAACACAGAAAAAAUAGGAACUGGCACUUGGCACUGAAUUAAUAAGUUAGUCCCAAAGAAGAUAUAAAAGGUACAUAAAACAUCCAAAGAUGACAAGAUAACAACAUCAAACCAUCAAAAAUUAUAGAUACGUUUGAGACGUAUCAAGCAUCCCCAAGCUUAACUCCUGCUCGUCCUCGAGUAGGGAAGUGAUAAAGAAUGAAUUUUUGAUGCUUUCAUGCUACCUAGCAUAGAUGUCCUUUGUAACUCCUCUUAUGUGACGUGAAUGUUCAGAUCCAUUAGAUUCAAAACAAUAGUUUGCUAUUGACAUAGAAACAAUAAUAAUUCAAGCAAACUAGCAAGGUAAUCAUGAACUUUCAAAAUAACAAUGCCAAAAGAAAGUUAUCCCUACAAAAGCAUAUAGUCUGGCUAUUCUCUAUCAUCAUUGCACAACAAAUUUAAAUCAUGCACAACCCCGGUAUUGGGCAAGUAAUUGUUUCACACAUUUACUUUCUCAAACCUUUUCAACUCUCACGCAAUACAUGAGCGUGAGCCAUGGUUUUAGCACUAUAAGUGGUGUGGAGUGUGGUGGAGGUUGCAAGACAAAAUAAGGAGAAGAUGAUCACAUUAACUAGGCAUAUCAAUGAGCUGUGGAGAUGCUCAUCAAUAGAUAUCAAUGUGAAUGAGUAGGGAUUGCCAUACAAAUGAUGCACUAGAGCUAAGAGUAUGUGAAAGCUCUUAAAGAAAACUAGUGGGUGUGCAUCCAACUUGCUUGCUCACGAAGACCUAAGGCAAUUUUGAGGAAGCCUAUCAUUGGAAUAUACAAGCCAAGUUAUAUAAUGAAAAUUUCCCACUAGCUAUAUGGUGGUGACAAAACGAGAUACUCUCAAUCAUGUAGAUCAUGGUGCUUAAUAUGCACAAGUGUGGAAAGGUGGUAACAUUGUCCCUUCUCUCUUUUUCUCUCAUCAUUUUUUUUGGUGGGCUCAUUGGCCUCUUUUUUUUGGUGGGCAUCUUGGCCUCUUUUAUUUCCUCACAUGGGACAAUGCUCCAUCGAUGAUGAUCAUCACACUUUCAACUCAAAACUUAGAGCAACGAUGAUUCUAUAUGGAAUGCCUUCGGUAGUGUACCGUGACAAUGAUCUAGCAAGGCAUAGACAUUAAUGGAAAUAUCAUGCUAGCUAUCUUACGAUCAUGCAAUGGCAAUGUAGAAGUGGUGGCACAUGUCAUGGUGGUAGUUGCAUGGCAAUAUAUCUCGGAAUGACUUUGAAAAAGCCAUAGUAGGUAGGUAUGGUGGCUGUUUUGAGGGAGGCUAAUGGUGGGUUUUGUGCACCGGCGAAAGUUGCACGACACUAAGAAGAUAGUGAUGGUGGAAGGUGAAAGUGCAUUUAAACCAUGGACUCAACAUUAGUCAUGAAGAACUCAUAUACUUGUUGCAAAAGUUUUGUUAGUAAUCAAAACAAAGCAUUCAACGCAUACUCCUAGGGGAAGGGUUGGUAGGUAUAAACCAUCGCGCGAUCCCGACCGCCACACAAAGGAUGACAAUCAAAAGACCAAUCAUGCUCAGACUUCAUCACAUAGUGGUUCACCAUACGUGCAUGCUACGGGAAUCACUAACUUCAACACAAGUAUUUCUAGAUCCACAACACCUUAUUAGCAUAACUUCAAUAUUACCACAACCACAACUCAAAACUAGUUGAGAUGGAUCAAACUUCUAUAACUAUUCAAUGCACAUGAAGGUGGAAGUUUUCGUAUCCCUUUGGAUAACUACCCCUUUUGAGACUACUUUCAAAGCAUAGAUCAACUACCAAGCCACGCACCGCUGUGCUCUAAAAGAUAUAAGUGACGCACAUAGAGCAAAAGUAUCUAGCCCAAAAGAUAUAAGUGAAGCACAUGUGAGCUGAAUUGUCUACCAGAGGAUAUAAGUGAAGCUCGACAAAAUCACGGUGAGUGCAUGUCUCUCUCUCUAGGUGUGCGGCAAGGAUGAUUGUGACACAACAAAAAUAAAAGACUCUUACGAUACAAGACGCUCCAAGCAAAAACACAUAAUAUGUGGUGAAUAAAAAUAUAGCCCCAAGUAACGUUACCGAUGGAUUGAAAACGAGAGAGGGGAUGCCUUCCCGGGGCAUCCCCAAGCUUAGGCUUUUACGGCAUCCUUGAAUCUCUUGGGGUGCCUUGGGCAUCCCCAAGCUUGAGCUCUUGCCACUCUUUAUCUCUUUGUCCAUAAGAACUUCACCCAAAACUUGAAAACUUCACAACACGAAACUUAAAUAGAAACUCGUGAUAACAUUAGUAUAAGAAAGCAAACCACCACUUCCUUAGGUACUGUAGCAAACUUAAAUUCUACUUAUGCUGAUGUUGGGUUACUGUAUUUUCAAUCUUCCAUGGCUAAUACCCCCCGAUACUAUCCAUAGUUUCAUCAAAAUAAGCAACCAACACAACAAAAAACAGAAUAUGUUAACAGCAGACCAGUCUGUAGCAAUCUGUAUAUCUCGUAUACUUCUGGUACUUCAAAAAUUCUGAAACAUUACGACAGUCUGAAGAAUUUGUGUAGAAAUCAGAAGCAAGAAGAAUCAACUCAAAAGCUCUUACAUAAAAAAUGAAAAUUAUUUUCGUGAGCAGAAAGUUUCUGUCUUUUCCACCAUGACCAAACGAUCAUCCCCAAGACUAAUCAUAACGAUUUUGCUUGGCACAAACGCAAAAAGAAACACAAAAAACACAAUCAUAACUGAAUUAUGAAAGUGUGGAAAACACAAAACAGAAAGAAAAAGGAUAGAUUCGUUGGGUUGCCUCCCAACAAGCGCUAUUGUUUAACGCCCUUAGCUAGGCAAAAGGUGAUGGAAUCACGUAUAGUCAUCUUUGGUGCUCAAACCAUAAGUAGCCCUCAUCAUAGAUUCAUAAGGUAAUCUUAUUUUCUUUCUAGGAAAGUGCUAUGUGCCCUUAUUUAAAGGAAAUUGAAAUCUAAUAUUCCCUUCCUUCAUAUCGAUGAUAGCACCAAUAGUCCUUAGGAAAGGUCUACCAAGAAUAAUGGGACAUGAAGGAUUGCAAUCUAUGUCAAGUAUAAUGAAAUCCACGGGUACAUAGUUCUUAUUUGCAACAAUAAGAACAUCAUCGAUCCUUCCCAUGGGUUUCUUGACAGUAGAAUCCGCAAGAUGCAAAUUAAGAGAACACUCUCCAAUCUCAUGAAAACUAAGAAUAUCACAUAAAGACUUUGGAAUCGCGGAAACACUAGCACCCAAAUCAUACAAAGCAUUGCACUCCUAGUUUUUGAUCUUGAUUUUGAUAGUAGGUUCCCACUCAUCAUGAAGUUUUCUAGGUAUAGAGACUUCUAAUUCAAGCUUCUCUUCAAGAGAUUUCAUCAUAGCAUCUACGAUAUGCGCGGUAAAGGCUUUGCUUUGGCUAUAAGCAUGUGGAGAGUUUGCAAUGGAUUGCAUCAAAGAAAUGCAUUCAAACAAGGAGCAAUUAUCAUAAUUGAAUUCCUUGAAAUCCAAAGUGGGAGUUUCAUUACUACCCAAAAUUUUGAUUUCUUCUAAUACACUCUCCACACCUUUAUCAUCAAGAUGGGUGGACUCCGAAUCAUUGGGGCGUUUUUCAACCAAAGUGGAUUCAUAUCCAGCCCCUUCAUCAAUAGGUUUGACAAGCGAAAACUAAGAUUCAAGAGGAGACACACCAAGCACUUUAAGAUCUUCGUGAUUUGCAUCACUAGAAUGCACCCCUUUAAACCAUUCAUGCCUGGCGCGAAUUUGGGCGGUUCUUUCUUUGCUCUCAUUCAUGGAGACACGCAUAGAUUUCAAAGUUUCAUCCAAGUUGACCUUGGGAGGAGCGCAUCUAACUUUCAAAGCAUCAAUAUCACAAGACAUCCUAUCAACGCUCUUAGCCAAAUCGUCUAUCUUGAGUAGUUUUUCCUCUAUGAACGCAUUGAAAAUCUUUUGAGAGUUGAUGAACUCUUUGAUAUUACUCUCUAAAUCAGAGGGUAAUUUGUUGUGAUUUCCAUAAGUGUUGUUGUAGGAAUUUCCAUAGUUGUUAGAGGAGUUACUAGGAAAAUGCCUAGGAACAUAGUUUCCUCUAAAAGCAUUGUUGUUGCCAAAAUUGUUCCUACCAACAAAAUUCACGUCCAAACUAGCGUUGCUACUCUCAAUCAAAGAAGAUAGUGGCAUGUCAUUAGGAUCUAAAGGAGCGUUUCUACUAGCAACCAAAUUCAUCAACUCGUCCAUCUUAGCACUAAGCGAAUUAAUUUCUUCUAUAGCGUGUACCUUUUUGCUAGGAGGCGACCUUUCAGUGUGCCACUUAGAGUAGUUGGUCAUAAUAUUGUCUAGGAGUUUUGUAGCGUCUCCUAACGUGAUUUCCAUGAACGUUCCACCUGAGGCGGAGUCCAAUAUAUUGCGAGAAGCGAAAUUCAAGCCAGUGUAAAAGAUUUGUAUAAUCAUCCACAAACUCAAGCCAUGAGCGGGACAAUUUCUAAUCAUAAGCUUCAUCCUCUCCCAAGAUUGUGCAACGUGUUCAUGAUGAAGUUGCUUGAAAUUCAUGAUAUCGUUACGUAAGGAGAUGAUCUUAGCCGGCAGAAAAUCUUGGAUAUGUAAGCAUCUUUGCACUUAUCCCAAGAAUCGAUACUAUUUUUAGGCAAAGAAGAAAACCAAGUUUUUGCGCGAUCUCGCAACGAGAAAGGAGAAAGCUUCAACUUAAUCACGUCAUUAUCCACAUCUCUUUUGUUUUGCAUAUCACAAAGCUCAAUGAAGGUAUUGAGAUGGGAUGCAACAUCUUCACUAGGAAGGCCAGAGAAUUGCUCUUUCAUAACAAGAUUCAGCAAAGCUGCGUUGAUUUCGUACGAUUCCGCACUAGUGGCGGGAGCAAUCGGAGUACUAAUAAAAUCAUUAUUAUUGGUACUCGAGAAGUCGCAAAGUUUGGUGUUUUCAGCCAUGAUGACUUCAACAAACAAACAAGCACACAAGCAAGCAAGAAAACCAGCAAAGGAAAACGGCAAAAAGGCAAAUGGAAAAAGAAAAAGGCAAAGGAGAAAGGCAAAUGAAAACGGCAAAUGUGAAGUGGGGGAGAAGAAAACGAGAGGCAACUGGCAAAAAAGUAAAUGCAAGAGAUGAGUUUGUGAGACCUACUUGGAUAAAUCUCUCCUUCCCCGGCAACGGCGCCAGAAAUACUUCUGCUACUGCAACAAAAGACCUUCCAACGGCGCCAGGAACGUGCUGACGGGUGACUGUUCUUGUCUUGAUACUCCUCAGCAACGGCACCAGGAAUCCUUCUGCUACGGCUACGCCUUAAGGGACUUCCUAGGCAAAUAUGCAAAGGAUUUCCCCCGUGGCCUUGGAGCCUUGCGUUGGUGUUCCCUCGAAGCGGAAAGGGUGAUGUAGCGCAGUGGUGGUAAGUAUUUCCCUCUGUUUGAGAACCAAGGUAUCGAUCCAGUGAAGGAGUAUCUCAAGUGCAUGCACAAACACAAAAAGCUUGCUCCCAACGCUAUGAAGGGGUUGUCAAUCCCUUAUAGAUUGUUCACCAAGUGAGAACUGAAAGCAACAAAGUAAAAAAGCAAAGUAAAAGCAAAAGUGGAAACGAUAGGUGUGAAUAGACCCGGGGGCCGUAGUGUUUACUAGUGGCUUCUCUCAUGAAAGCAAGUAGACGGUGGGUGAACAAAUUACUGUCGAGCAAUUGAUAGAAGCGCGCAAAGUCGUGACGUCAUCUAUGGAAAUGAUUAUAUCUAUAGGCAUCACGUCCAAAACAAGUAGAUCGAUACUUUCUGCAUCUACUACUAUUACUCCACACGUCGACCGCUAUCCAGCAUGCAUCUANNNNNNNNNGAGCAAUUGAUAGAACCGCGCAAAGUCGUGACGUCAUAUAUGGCAAUGAUUAUAUCUAUAGGCAUCACGUCCAAAACAAGUAGACCGAUACUUUAUGCAUCUACUACUAUUACUCCACACGUCGACCGCUAUCCAGCAUGCAUCUAGUGUAUUAUGUCCAAAAGAACAGAGUAACGCCUUAAGCAAGAUGACAUGAUGUAGAUGGACAAUCUCAUAUCUACGACAAAGCCCACCUUGUUACCCUUGAUGGCAACUACACGAUGUGUGCCUUGCUGCCCCUACUGUCACUCAGAAAGGUCACCACAUGGUAAGAACCCAAAACCAAGCACUUCUCCCAUUGCAAGAAUCAUAGAUCAAGUUGGCCAAACAAAACCCAAGACUCAGAGAGACUUACAAGGAUAUCAAAUCAUGCAUAUAAGAAAUCAACAAAGACUCGAAUAUAUAUCAUAGAUAAUCUGAUCACAAAUCCACAAUUCAUCGGAUCUCGACAAACACACCGCCAAAGAGGAUUACAUCGGAUAGAUCUCCAUGAAGAUCAUGGAGAAGUUUGUAUUGAAGAUCCAAGAUGGAGAAGAAGCCAUCUAGCUACUAACUACGAACCAGUAGGUCUGAAGUGAACUACUCACGAGUCAUUGGAGGGGCGAUGAUGUUGAUGUAGAAGCCCUCCAACUCCAAAGUCCCCUCCGGCAGGGCACCGGGAAGGGUCUCCACAUGAGAUCUCGCGGAAACGGAAGUUUGCUGCGGCAGAAAAGUGUUUUCGAGGAUUCCCUGGUUUUUUCUGUAUUUUAGGGAAUAUAUAGGCGAAGGAGCUAGGUUAGGGGGGCGCCAGGGAGGCCACAAGCCUGCUGCCCCCCCUGGUGGUGGCUAGGGGGCUUGUGGGCCCCGUGUAACCCUCCUGCCUUGGCCCUCAAGCCCCGUGAUCUUCUUCCAGUCGGGGAAAUUUUAUUUUGGGGAUUUUAUUCCGUUUGUACUCCGUUCCAAAAUCAGAUCUCAAAAGAGCGAAAAACACAGAAAAAACAGGAACUGGCACUUGGCACUGAAUUAAUAAGUUAGUCCCAAAAAAGAUAUAAAAGGUACAUAAAACAUCCAAAGAUGACAAGAUAACAUCAUGAAACCAUCAAAAAUUAUAGAUACAUUUGAGACGUAUCAAGCAUCCCCAAGCUUAACUCCUGCUCGUCCUCGAGUAGGGAAGUGAUAAAGAAUGAUUUUUUUAUGCUUUCAUGCUACCUAGCAUAGAUGUCCUUUGUAACUCCUCUUAUGUGACGUGAAUGUUCAGAUCCAUUAGAUUCAAAACAAUAGUUUGCUAUUGACGUGGAAACAAUAAUAAUUCAAGCAAACUAGCAAGGUAAUCAUGAACUUUGAAAAUAACAAGGCCAAAAGAAAGCUAUCCCUACAAAAGCAUGUAGUCUGGCUAUGCUCUAUCAUCAUUGUAGAACGAAUUUAAAUCAUGCACAACCCCGGUAUUGGCCAAGUAAUUGUUUCACGCCUUUACUUUCUCAAACCUUUUCAACUCUCACGCAAUACAUGAGCGUGAGCCAUGGUUUUAGCACUAUAAGUGGUGUGGAGUGUGGUGGAGGUUGCAAGACAAAAUAAGGAGAAGAUGAUCACAUUAACUAGGCAUAUCAAUGAGCUGUGGAGAUGCUCAUCAAUAGAUAUCAAUGUGAAUGAGUAGGGAUUGCCAUACAAAUGAUGCACUAGAGCUAAGAGUAUGUGAAAGCUCUUAAAGAAAACUAGUGGGUGUGCAUCCAACUUGCUUGCUCACGAAGACCUAAGGCAAUUUUGAGGAAGCCUAUCAUUGGAAUAUACUCCCUCCGUUCCUAAAUAUAAGUCUUUUUAGAGGUUCAACUAAUGAACUACAUACGGAUGUAUAUAGACAUACUUUGAAGUAUAGAUUCAUUUAUUUUGCUCUGUAUGUAUACACCUAGUGAAAUGUCUUAAAAGACUUAUAUUUAGGUACGGAGGGAGUACAAGCCAAGUUAUAUAUUGAAAAUUUCCCACUAGCUAUAUGGUGGUGACAAAACGAGAGACUCUCAAUCAUGAAGAUCAUGGUGCUUAAUAUGCACAAGUGUGGAAAGGUGGUAGCAUUGUCCCUUCUCUCUUUUUCUCUCAUCAUUUUUUUGGUGGGCUCUUUGGCCUCUUUGACUUUUGUGAAAAGAUUGUUGAGGUUUUCAUGGAUAACUUCUCCGUUUACGGGGUAUUCCUUUGAUUAUUGCCUCAGCAACCUUGAUCGAGUCUUGCAGAGAUGUAAAGACUCCAAUCUUGUCUUGAAUUGGGAGAAGUGCCACUUUAUGGUUAAUGAAGGCAUCGUCUUAGGACAUAAAAUUUCUGAAAGAGGUAUUGAAGUCGAUAAGGCUAAGGUUGAUGCAAUCGAGAAAAUGCCAUACCCCACAGAUAUCAAAGGGAUAAGAAGUUUCCUUGGUCAUGUUGGUUUCUAUAGAAGGUUCAUUAAAGACUUCUCUAAGAUUUCUAGGCAUCUUACCAAUCUCUUGCAAAAGGAUAUUCCUUUUGUUUUUGACGAUGAUUGUGAGGAAGCCUUCGAAAUACUUAAGAGGGCUUUGAUAACUGCACCUAUUGUUCAACCACCUGAUUGGAACUUACCUUUUGAAAUCAUGUGUGAUGCUAGCGAUUAUGCUGUUGGUGUUGUCCUAGGGCAAAGAGUUGAUAAGAAGUUGAAUGCUAUUCACUAUGCUAGUAAAACUCUAGAAAGUGCCCAAAGAAACUAUGCCACUAUGGAAAAGGAGUUUUUAGCAGUCGUGUUUGCCUGUGAAAAGUUCAGGUCUUACAUAGUUGAUUCCAAAGUCACUAUUCACACUAAUCACGCUGCUAUUAAGUACCUCAUGGAGAAGAAGGACGCUAAACCUAGACUUAUCAGAUGGGUUCUCUUGCUACAAGAAUUUUAUUUGCACGUUGUCGACAGAAAGGGUGCUGAUAACCCCGUAGGAGAUAACUUGUCUAGGUUGGAGAACGUUCUUGAUGACCCACAACCUAUUGAUGAUAGCUUUCCCGAUGAGCAAUCGAAUGUCAUCAAUGCUUCAUGUAGUGCACCGGGGUAUGCUGAUUAUGCAAACUAUAUCAUUGCCAAAUAUAUACCACCUAGUUUCACAUACCAGCAAAAGAAGAAAUUCUUCUUUGACUUGAGACAUUACUUUUGGGAUGAUCCUCACCUUUAUAAGGAAGGAGUAGAUUGUGUUAUUAGACGUUGUGUACCUGAACAUGAACAGGGACAAAUCCUACAGAAGUGUCACUCCGAGGCCUACGGAGGACACCAUGCGGGAGAUAGAACUGCACAAAGGUAUUGCAAUCAGGUUUCUAUUGGCCCACUCUCUUCAAGGAUGCCCGUAAGUUUGUCUUGUCUUGUGAUGAAUGUCAAAGAGUAGGUAAUAUCGGUAAAUGUCAGGAAAUGCCUAUGAACUAUUCACUUGUCAUUGAACCAUUUGUUGUAUGGGGCUUUGAUUAUAUGGGACCUUUUCCAAAAUCCAAUGGGUAUACUCAUAUCCUAGUUGUUGUUGAUUACGUCACUAAGUGGGUAGAAGCUAUCCCCACUAGUAGUGCUGAUCACAACACUUCUAUCAGGAUGCUUAAAGAAGUUAACUUCCCUAGAUUUGGAGUCCCUAGAUAUCUAAUGACCGACGGUGGUUCACAUUUCAUUCAUGGUGCUUUCCGUAAAACGCUUGCUAAGUACGAUGUUAACCAUAGAAUUGCGUCUCCCUAUCACCCCUAGUCUAGUGGUCAAGUAGAGCUAAGCAAUAGAAAGAUUAAACUGAUUCUGCAAAAGACUGUCAACAGGUCUAGAAAGAAUUGGUCUAAGAAGCUCGAUGAUGCACUGUGGGCUUAUAGAACUGCCUAUAAGAAUCCCAUGGGCAUGUCUCCGUACAAAAUGGUGUACAGUAAAGCAUGUCAUUUACCUCUUGAGCUAGAGCAUAAAGCUUAUUGGGCAAUCAAAGACCUCAACUUUGAUUUCAAGCUUGCCGGUGAGAAGAGGUUAUUUGACAUUAGCUCGCUUGAUGAAUGGAGAACUCAGGCAUAUGAGAAUGCCAAGUUGUUCAAAGAGAAGGUUAAGAGGUGGCAUGAUAAGAGGAUACAAAAGCGUGAGUUCAAUGUAGGUGAUUAUGUCUUGCUAUAUAACUCUCGUUUAAGAUUCUUUGCAGGCAAGCUUCUCUCUAAAUGGGAAGGUCCCUAUGUUGUUGAGGAAGUAUAUCGUUCCGGUGCUAUCAAGACCAACAACACGGAAGGUAAUUGUCCGAGAGUUGUAAAUGGGCAGAGAAUCAAGCAUUAUAUCUCAGGUACUCCCAUAAAUGUUGAAAUCAAUAUCAUCAAUACCAUAACUCUAGAAGAAUACCUAAGGGACAUUUAUCAGCCUGUUUCAGACUCCGAAAACGAAGAGUAUGUGAUUCGGUAAGAAAACAGAGUCCAAAACUUUUCGAGUAGAAUUUUUUCUCCGUUUUGGAAUAUUUGAAAAAAAAAUUGGAAGUAGUCCGGAAAGUGCGCGAGGAGGCGACAAGCCUUCCCGGCGCGGGCCCACCCCCUGACCGCGCCGGGAGGGCUUGUGGCCACCUCGUGCACCUCCCGGACUCCGUUUUCGUGCGGAGUACUCCUUCUGGUCUGGAAAAAAUCAAUAUAUACUCUCCCGUUUGGUCUGACCCCUACAUCACGCAGAUUUCCUCUGUUUUUUGUUUCGAGCCUGUUUCUGUUGUAGAUCUAGAUCGCUAUGACUUCCCCAAAAGCUCCGAAGGACAAGAUCUUCGAGAAGGUCAUCAAUACCUACCUCACGGGAGUGUUGCAACACCCUCAAUCUAUCGAGAUGCGUGAGGGGAUGUUGCACAUCCGUGAUGUUGAGGGGCCCAAGAAGACCGGAAGCGUGGAGAUGAGGCUCGAAGCAAUGGAGCAACAAGUCUUCAAGUGCCAAGGGAUGGUGGAGCAUGGACUCAAUGCCAACCACAUGAUGAUCAUGGAGUUCACCAACAAGCACAUGAUUGAUGCCAAUGACAUUGGGAAGCACCUCUCCAGGCUCUAUGACAGGAUUGAUCAACUCCAUGCCCAGAUCUAUGACCUGCAGAACCAAAACUGUGAGUAUGAGUAUAGAUUUAAAUCAAUACAGUUGGCUGCAGAUUUGAGGAUUCCAGAGACUCGUUCAUCUUUCCAUGAUGGAGCACCUAUGCCUUGGAAGACGUAGGAUCAAGCCCAUGUUGCAACAACUCCACCACCAUCACCUCCAAAGGAAGACAGCUAAGCAUGGGUAUGGGCAAUCCCCUUGGCUGGUGCCAAGCUUGGGGGAGUUGCCCCGGUAUCGUAUCACCAUCACAUAUUUUCCCUUUACCUUUGUUUUAAGUUUUCCUUUUCAGUUUUCUCUUUCUCUAGUAGAUUAAAAGUCUUAGUGUUUUAGUCUUGAGUUUUGCUUUGUGUCACCCCCGAUGUAUUCGAGCUCGUGAUGUAUGUGCAAGCAAUAAAAAUUGCUCUCUAGUUUGUAUGAUCUAUUAGUGUGUGGAAAAUAAGCUUUGUACGAACCUGUGAUGAGGAAGACAUAAAAGCGACAGACUGCAUAAUAAAGCUCUUUAUCAUAGGAGGCAAUAUAAAGUGACGUUCCUCCACACUAAGAGGACACACAUCCAAACCUCAAAAGCGCAUGACAACCUCUGCUUCCCUCUGCGAAGGGCCUAUCUUGUACCUUUACUUUUUGCCCUUGAAAGAGUCAUGGUGAUCUUCACCAAUUCCUUAUUUCGCCUUUAUCUUGGCUAACGUCAUAUGCUUGGGAAAGAUCUAUAUUCAUAUGUCAACUUGGAAGUAAGUAUUCAUGAUUUAUUAUUGUUGACAUUACCCUUGAGGUAAGCAGUUGGGAGCCAAAACUGUAAGCCCCUAUUUUUCUCUAUAUUCAGCUGAAACUUUGAUCUCAUGAGUACCGCGUGAGUUGCAGCAAUUGUAGAGAACGAAAGAAUGAUUGAGUAUGUGGAUUUGCUUUACAAGCUCUUAUUUGACUAUUUCUAAUGUUGUGAUAAAUUGCAAUUGCUUCAAUGACUAAAGGCUAUCGGUUGUUACUUCUCGGUAAGGUUCUUGAUCCAUGCUUUACUUUGUGAAGGAAUUAUCACUUUAGCAUGAGAGAUUAUAUGUUGGUAUGGCUGUUCUGGUCAUGAUCAUGAUGCAUGCAUGUUCGUAUCUUGUUUUGUCGACACCUCUCUCCCUAAACAUGUGGACAUAUUUAUUGAGCUAGGCUUUCGCUUUAGGACAAGCGAGGUCUAAGCUUGGGGGAGUUGAUACGUCCAUUUUGCAUCAUGUUUUCAUGUUGAUAUUUAUCGCUUCUUGGGCUGUUAUUUCACUUCACGGUACAAUACUUAUGCCUUUUCUCUCUUAUUUUGCAAGGUUUACAUGAAGAGGGAGAAUGCCGGCAGCUGGAAUUCUGGCGUGAAAGAGGAGCAAAGUUGAGAUACCUAUUCUGCGCAACUCCAAACGUUGUAAAAAUCAACGAGGAUUUUUUUUCUGGAUUUAUAAAAAUACUGGGCCAAAGAAGCGCCAGAAUGGGCGCCAGCAAGUGGCCACAAGCCUGCACGGUGCGGCCACCCCCAGGCCGCGCCAAGGGGGCUUGUGGGCAGCCUGCUGGCCCAUUGGCCCCCCUCUUCUGCUAUAUGAAGGGUUUCGUCCAGAAAAAAAAAUCAAGGAGGAGCUUUUUCGUGGAUUCGCCGCCGCCACGAGGCGGAACUUGAGCAGAACCAAUCUAGAGCUCCGGCAGGACGAUCCUGCCGGGGAAACUUCCCUCCCGGAGGGGGAAAUCAUCGCCAUCGUCAUCACCAACACUCCUCUCAUCGAAGGGGACUCGUCACCAUCAACAUAUUCAUCAACACCAUCUCAUCUCCAAACCCUAGUUCAUCUCUUGUAACCAAUCUCCCUCUCGCGACUCCGAUUGGUACUUGUAAGGUUGCUAGUACUGUUGAUUACUCUUUGUAGUUGAUGCUAGUUGGAUUACUUGGUGGAAGAGUUUAUGUUCACAUCCUUGAUGCUACUCAUUACCUCUCUGGUCAUGAAUAUUAUUAUGCUUUGUGAGUAGUUACUUUUGUUCCUGAGGACAUGGGAUAAGUCAUGCUAAUACUAGUCAUGUGAAUUUGGUAUUCGUUCGGUAAUUUGAUGUGUUGUAUGUUGUUUUUCCUCUAGUGGUGUUAUGUGAACGUCGACUACAUAACACUUCACCAUUAUUUGGGCCUAGAGGAAGGCAUUGGGAAGUAGUAAGUAGAUGAUGGGUUGCUAGAGUGACAGAAGCUUAAACCCUAGUUUAUGCGUUACUUCGUAAGGGGCUCAUUUGGAUCCACUAGUUUAAUGUUAUGGUUAGACUUUGUAUUGAUUCUUAUUUCGUAGUUGCGGAUGCUUGCGAGAGGGGUUAAUAAUAAGUGGGAUGCUUGUCCAAGUAAGGGCAGUACCCAAGCGCCGGUCCACCGACAUAUCAAACUAUCAAAGUAACGAACGUGAAUCAUAUGAACAUGAUGAAACUAGCAUGACAGAAAUUCAUGUGUGUCCUCGGGAGCGCUUUUCCUCCUAUAAGACUUUGUCCAGGCUUGUCCCUUGCUACAAAAGGGAUUGGGCCACUUUGCUGCACCAUUGCUACUUUUGUUACUUGUCGCUCUCUACGAAUCAUCUCACCACUCAAUCACUUGUUACCGAUAAUUUCAGUGCUUGCAGAUAUUUCCUUGCUGAAAACCACUUGUCGGAUCCUUCUGCUCCUCGUUGGGUUCGACACUCUUACUUAUCUAAAGGACUACGAUUGAUCCCCUAUACUUGUGGGUCAUCAGCAGGCCGUCCCAGGUAGUGAUGGACGCCUUCGGGAGGUUCAGGAGCCAGGAGAGUGCGCCGCCCUUGAGCGCCAUGGGGAACCAACACGCCAUGACCUUGUCGCCUCCGCCCGCCGCCUUGAUGCUCAGCGUGUAAAGUUGCAGGAACUCAGCCGGGUCUUGGUUGCCAUUGUAGCGCGGGGGCAGGCCGGGGCUUGAACUUGCAGGGCAACUUGGCGGGGUAGAGCUCGGGGGCGAUGGCGGGGCACCCCACCGGUCCGACGGGUAUUGUGUGCACGGGAGCCAUCGAGUCUUGUUGCUCCACGGGGUCUGCUUCGAGCGGGGUGCGCUCACGACGCGUAAUUUGCAGUGCUGGGGGCGCGCACACAUCGGCGCGGGGCCGUGGAACCACCUGGCAGCUUGCUUCGUCUCAAGGUCCCGCCCUCGGUUCGUGAGGCCGGUCGCGGGGUCGCGCUUCCUGUCUGGGCUCGGGGUCCGCGACGCGCCGUGGAGGUGGGGGUGGCGCGUCUUCCUCCUCAUUGUUUGUCAGGGACGGUUGGGGUCGGAGUGAGAAGGAGAGUGCCGCGGAGUCACCGGCGGCGAUGAUGAGCUCCUCGAUGCGCUGGAGCCAGUCGUCGUGGCAGUUAGGAGCAGGCCGGUAGCGGGGCAGCUCGGUGGCCAUGGAAAGCGUGCGCCGGCCGUGGGGCAUCUCUGGCCGGUCGCGCGAUACCUACCCUGAAGGUCGGGCGAGUGACGGAGUGGCGGUGCGGCCAUCCGCCUGCUCGGUCGCCGGCUGGGAGGAACCUUGUUGCUCUUGAACCUCGGGGCCGGUGGCAGCAUUCACCACGGGUGACGGCGACCGGCGCGCCGGCAUCGAUGGGCGCUUUCUGGGCGAUGCGGGUGGCACGGUGCUCCACGCGAACCCGGCGAGCGUCAACCAUCGGAGCGGCAGAGCUUGGUAAAGAUGGAUUUUGGACGGAACCUCGACAUACACCCUACCUGGCGCGCCAAAUGUCAGAUUUCGGGCUUCACAAAACCCUAAGGAUUCGAACACAGGGGCGUGUACGAAGAUCUCUCCCUGCUCGGCCUCACCUAGCUCACUACUCGAUGGAAACGACGAAGGACUCGCUCGAUGGUGAGGGGAACGCAAAACACGACAGUUUACCCAGGUUCGGGCCGCUGCGAAGCGUAAAACCCUACUCCUCUUUUGGUGGAUUGCCUCUCUCGGAGGUGGGUGGAUGAACUAGUACAGUGCUCUCGAGCCUCCGGAGGCCAAGUGAUUGAGUGUGUUGCUCUUGAUUGGGAAUGAACUGCCCCCCCCCCCCCCCCGGNNNNNNNNNNNNNNNNNNNNNNNNNNNNNNNNNNNNNNNNNNNNNNNNNNNNNNNNNNNNNNNNNNNNNNNNNNNNNNNNNNNNNNNNNNNNNNNNNNNNNNNNNNNNNNNNNNNNNNNNNNNNNNNNNNNNNNNNNNNNNNNNNNNNNNNNNNNNNNNNNNNNNNNNNNAAGUAUCCUACCCUCUCUCUUUAUAGUGGAGGCCAGGGUCCUCUUCCCUCAUAGCUUCGAGGGGAAGGGGUCCUAAAGCGGCCAAUUUUGAAGGGGGGCAAGGGAACAUGCUCCCCUGCCCAAAGGUGAUCUUCGCCUGCAAAGUAACUGCUCGCGCUGUAGGGAUGGGCCCGAAGGUGACGCUUGCCCUACUGGUGGGCGGUGGCGGCUUCGUUGCAGCAGAAAGGAAACCUUUGGAAGAUGCCUUUGGAACCCCUGUACGCUUCCGCCCCCUUUGCACUAAAGGGGAAACUGUUCCAUCCUGCCAUUUGUUGCUCGCAUGUCCUUCCCCAGCGUCACCCUUGACUCGUGAGGCCCGACCUUGCCUCGGAAUAUCCGCCACUCCGGAGGGGUCGUGAGGAGGCCCCGUGCAGGUCUUGACAAUGCUUCCCAUCGUGAGGCUUGGCCCCUCACAAGGGCCUUGCCUUGAACGGUGUCGGGCCCGUCGGUUUGUUUUUGUGAGGUGAGCCUGCCCUGGGCCACACGCAGGCAGGUCUGGGUACCCCCAUUCCUAGAACGCCGACAACUAGAAAAACCACAAAAAUCUUACUAUAGUAUGUUCCUUGAGAGUCUUUGCGUAGGAGAGGAUAGAUAUGUGACACAAGCUAGAAUAAAAAGUAUUCAUUUUCCCUGUAUUCGCUGCUUUGCAUUGUUUAAUGAAACAUGUGUAGUAGGUAAGCACGACUAUAAUGCACUUUGUGCUCCCGACUUGAGUCUCGUUCACACUACGGUUACUCGUGAGAGAUGAUACAACCUUCGUGCAAGUGUUGCUCGCAGCCUGCACCUUAAUGCGGGUAUUUGUCGGGGAUAUAACCCCACGAUAUAAUUCACCCUAUUGGGUCGGGUCAUCCUGAUGGCGUCUCAUAAGCAAUACACAAGGUGGGCUGAAACUCGGAGGAACAAGACCGGCAAGGCAGCUUACCAAGUAAGUCGGUUUGCGGCCCAAUGUGAGAAGACGGCGAAUCAAGGCCCAAGAGGUGUAAAGUCACCUAGAGUUUCCUUGCUUAGGAGGCAAGGCGAGUUAGAGAUAUACUUGGUCACGAAUCAUAACACGACUCGGACCCUUGUAAGCCAAGGGCCUCGACCUAUAUAUAAAGGCGAGGCCUUGAUACAAAUAGACUUAAGUUGCAAUAGAUCAAUAGCUAGGUCAAGUGAAUCCGCUCCCUUGUAAUUAAUAUCCAAGCAAUAAGCAGAAAGUAGGAGUAGGCUUUUACCUCGAUCAUGAGGGGCCAAACCAGGGUAAACUGUAUGUCUCGAUUCCGAUCAACCCCAACAAGCUAACCAUCCAGUUGCGAUGGCCUCACGUCUAAGUCCUCACACAAGGACAUGUGUGGUGACCAAACCACAAUAGUUGGCACCCACCAUGGGGACAGCGCACUAUGGUUUUGAGUUCUUGAAGGGCUCUUUCCCACGGCUCGAGGGAUACGCCAUUGACAAGAUGACAAAGAGCCACCACGAAAAACUCUACAUCGACGAUGUUGUGUGGGGUCCCGAGGCCGACUCAAUCGAGUACGGGUACCAGGUCCCCUUUGGCAAGAUUCGUGUCUUCAUGAGCAAGAUCGGCGAGUCAGAAUCCGAGUUGAACAUCUGCACCGACCUCAUUGAGUUGGCUCGGCAUGCGCAACCCGCCCGGAGUCAAGUCGGACAGAAGCAUGUUUUUGUUGGUUUUGUGCAAGGUGUAGAACUUGAGGAAAACUCUGUGUCUGGAGGAGAGACUCUUGUUUAUAUAGAUGAUGAGUCCUCAACCAAAGAGACGGAGUCGGUUUAUCUGCUUGAAGAUAGCGGGCUUGGGGGCUACUCCAAUGGCAAUAGUAUUCCGGACCCCAAUGAGCCGCCGUAUCGAGCCGCCAUCUUCAUGAACGGGACGACGCCGGCUCUCCACACUAUAGUGGUCGAAGCAACAACAAUAGUUGACCCUUCAGCACCGGCUUCUGGGGUAUCUGAUUCGGUUAGGCCACCGACUCAAGUUUUGUCUGAGCCGAUGACCACCCUGACAACCUUACUAGGGACCUAGAUCACUGUGGAAAAUCAAGCAAGACGCAAUGCGGAGAUUGCAAAGAUACAUGAACAGAUGACCAAGUCUGAGGAAGACAUUAACGCUGAGAUCACCUGGACAGCAACACUUCAAGCUCAGGUUAAUGUGGAAGCACAUCGUCUGAAGAAGGAGGCAUGGCGUCUUAGCCUUGAUCAAAACACAUCCAAUGCAGUUCUUCGCCGGAGGCACGAUACCCGUUUACCCCCAGUCUAUGAGCCCACACGUUUGCUCAACUCUCCAGGAGCAUGCCCAAGUACUCCACAAGCACCAGUUAUACCCCAAUUGACUUAUGUGAUGCCUGGGGCAGGGUGGCAGCUCAACCUCAUCGGCCAGAGCCAGCACGGAGGGAAGAGCCGGUCCUAGACCUGCCCCUAGUCCACACGACACUCAUGUCUACUGCACAACUUUAUUCUUGUAGACUAUGUUGGGCCUCCAAGCGCAGUGUUUUGUAGGACAGUAGCAAUUUUCCCUCAAGUGGAUGACCUAAGGUUUAUCAAUCCAUGGGAGGUGUAGGAUGAAUAUGGUCUCUCUCAAACAACCCUGCAAUCAAAUAAUAAAUACUCUCUUGUGUCCCCAACACACCCAAUACAAUCGUAAAUUGUAUAGGUGCACUUGUUCGGCGAAGAGAUGGUGAUACAAGUGUAGUGAUGAUAGUAGAUAUAUUUUUUGUAAUCUAAUAAUAUAAAAACAGCAAGGUAGCAAGUGUAAAGCGAGCCUCAUUUUCUAUGGCAUGAGAUUCGGCUUGCUAGCUUUCAGUACAAGCGAGCCUUUCCUCAUGCCUCCUUCAUCCAGGCUCUUAUUGAUCAUGUAGCUGAUUUCUCUGUGGCUGUCACUCACACACAUCGCAAGUGGGUCAUUCCCGCUCACAUGGCGGAUAACUAUGCUCUCAAGAAAACCCCCUCAUCCUCCACAUCCACUCGUCGCACUGCUGCCCGGUCCGCCACCCCCUCAUCUAGCUCCGCUCCUCUCGGUCGCAUUGCCAAAUUCCUUGGCAAGGCCCAUUCUGCUUUGAUGAAGGCCGUCUCUUUCCAGUGUGGCCAAACCCAUGAUGUGGUUUCUCGCUUAGUCUCCUCCAAGAAUGCUCUCAAGGCUCGUCUGAGAGCCUCGGGCGCUCUUGAUGUGAGUGAUGAUGAGGCCACUCCUGCUGCUCCUCCUACUGAUUUUGGCUUCCCAUCUGGUCCUGAGUGGGCUGAUUUCCUUGACGAGGCUGGUGGCAGUGGCUUGCCUAAUGAUGAUGAUGAUGAUGAUGAUGAGCUCUGAGCAUGGUUGUUGCUGGUGGUAUCUCCCUUUUUGGUACUUGGUGCCAAAGCGGGAGUAAUGUAUCGUAGUUUUUAGUCUUUGGAGAUUUAAUGUAAUGGAUAAACUCAUGUAUGGCUACUUAUGAAUGAUUGUGAUUUGCUAUGGAUUGCUAUGAUAUCAUCAUCGACUAUUAUGUUUUGCUCUACUACUUCUAUGAUGAUCUAUUAUCUUUACAUGUUGAUCCAUUGGUUCUUCGAUAUUUUAUCAUGCAUAUACUAAGGGGGAGCUCCGUACUAAAUAUCUCCUAGGCUAUAAUGUAUGUUAAAUCUUUUUGAGACCUAUGUAAAUGUUGUCAUCAACUACCAAAAAGGGGGAGAUUGAAAGUGCAUGCUAUGCCCCUAAUCGACUUUUGGUGUUAAUGACAACACAUACAUAGGAAACUAAUCCUAUUUGUUGAGUGUAUCUCAGGAUGGCAAGUACUUUAGUAAAUUGAGAAUUAUGUGCCAAAGGUUGUCUCAGAAGAUUGGGAUUUAUAAUUCGAGAAGGCUCGGGAUUAUGAAAAGAUGAUGUAGACUAGUCUUUUGAGUUUAGUGAUAUUGAGUAUAGGGAUCUCGCACUAUUAAGAGGGGAUCACAGGUUUUGCGAUGAACUUGAUCAUACCACAUCUUUACUAUCAUACCCAAUACCACACAUUCUCCACUCUGUUCUUCUAUCAAAACAGGUCUAUUGCCUCGGACAUCCGGCUCCCUCCGGACGUCCGAGGGCCGGACGACCGACAGGCUUCGGAAAUCCGCAGCCCUUCACCAGAAGUUUGUGAGUCAUAUAACUCGGAAAUCCGGCUCCCUCCGGACAUCCGAGGGCCAGACGUCCGACCAGCCCCGGAAAUCCGGAACCCUGCACCAGUAGAAGUUGAGUUCUAUAACUCGGAUUUCCGGCUCCCUCCGGACGUCCGAGGGCCGGACGUCCGACCCCCUUCGGAAAUCCGGAACCUACCACGAGAAGAAGUUGAGUCGUAUAACUCGGAUUUCCGGUCCUCUCCGGACGUCCGGUCGUUGUUCAAGUCAAAACAGUUUCAGUCAUAUCUACAUGCCUCGGACGACUGACCCCUGUCGGACGUCCGACCCCUCGCGGACGCUCGGACGUCCGGCAACUGUCGGACGUCCGGACCCUAUGUGACUUAAAGUGCCCCCAACGGCUGGAUUUCACUCCCCACUAUAUAUACUCUUCUCCCACCUCGGGAAAGGGUGUUCAACACAGCUAAGACACAUCCAAGAACACCUUUCCUCUCACUCACUCUUGUCUACACCAAAUCCUAGAUCCCAAGAGCAUUUGUGAGUCCUUUUGAGUGUUGUUCCAAUCAAAAGAUAGAUCGUCUCCCUCUCCUCCUUCCCACCAAAGUGAUUCGUGAUUUGAGCAAGUUUUGAGCAAUCCCCGUGAUCUUGUUACUCUUGGAGGUUGGAGACUCCUAGGCGGUAGGAGUCUUCGGAGAGGAAUCAAACCAUUGUGAUUUCCCCCGGAAAGUUUGUGAAGGUUUGGAAGCCACCUCAAGGCUUACCACUAGUGGUUGAGAAACGCUUUCGUGGAGUUAUCUCAAAGGGAGAAUAGGGUGAGCCUUUGUGGCAUUGGUGUGCCUUCGUGGUAACAUCCGCCCCUCUAAUGGUGACGUAGCUUCCCUCCAAGGAAGUGAACAUCCGGAUACAUCCUUGUCUCUCUUGGAGUUUCGGUUAUUCCUAACCCUAACUCUCUACUUGUGUUAAUCCUUAUUACGUACUUGUAUUUGAUUAUUGUUUACCGCUUGUCUUACUUCACUCUAAAUAGCUUACUCCUUGUUGUAGCAAUUAUUAGGCCUACACUCAUAUUCCGCACUUUUGCCUAAAAUUGCUAAGUAAUUAUUAAAAUUUGGAUUUGUACCUAUUCACCCCCCCCCCCUCUAGGUCCAUCUCGAUCCUUUUCAACAAGGCUCGUGAUAUAUCAAGAUAAUGACAUAUCAAGAACAUGAGAGAGAGAGAGAGAAUAAACACAUAGCUACUAGUACAAACCCUCAGCCUCGAGGGUGGACUACUCCCUCCUCGUCAUGGCCUCCGCCGGGAUGAUGAAGAUGACUACCGGAGAUGAUUUCCCCUCUCUCGCACGGUACUGGAACGUCUCCAGAUUGGUUUUUCAUGUCUACAGAGGCCUGCGGCAGCGAAACUUCUCGUCUAGGGUUAUUUCUGGAGGUUUCUAUAUUUAUAGGAUUUUUGGGCGUUGGAAUCACGCCAAGAUGGGCCAGGAGGUUCCCACUAGAUACCAUGCCGCGCUAGGGGGCUCGCGUGCCCUGGUGUCUAAUGGGCACCAGGGGUCCCCCUCUGGUGGUUCUUUGCUCUAGUAUUCUCUUUUCCACCAAAAAAUCAUCAAAAAGUUUCGUCCAAUUCCGAUAACUUUUAUUUCUGCACACAAAACAACACCUCGGUAGUUCUGUUGAAAACAUCGUUAGUCCGGGUUAGUUCUAAAUAAAUCAUAUAAAGUGCAGCAAAACCAUAUAAAAGUAUUGUAAACAUAGGCAGACAUGCCAUGAAUACUUCAUAAAUUAUCGAUACGUUGGAGAUGUAUCACCGUCCCCAAGCUUAAUUACUACUCGUCCUCGAGUAGGUAAAUGAUAAAAGAAAUAAUUUAUGAAGUGUGAAUGCUAGCAUAGUGCAUAAGUUUGAUCAAUGAUAAUUUCAAUCACUUUUCCUAUCAUCAUAAUGCAACUCUUUCUCAUAAAACUCAUCAUGAUAAAGUAGCAACAAAUUCACAUGUUAUGGUUCAAACAAUGAACUCUCUUGAAACUUAACAACCUAUGUUCUUAGUCACCAAACAAUUGCAAUUCAACUUAUUCUCAACAAAGUCUAAGUAAGAGCUCCACAUACUCAAUCAUCAUAUAGCCUUCUAUGAUUGCUAGUACUCAAAGCAUAUUUUUAGAACAAAUGGCAUCCAUCAAACACAGAGAAAUAUAGGGGCUUAAUGCUUCGCCUCCCAACUCAUUUAUCAUAGAGAUAAUUGUCAACAAUAAUAAGUCAUGAUCAAAUAUAUUUGACUGGCCAUAUGUGCCUAGAUCUUUCCCCACCACAUGAUCCUUGCCAACUAGAGAAUAAUUGAGGUUGAAAUGAGAAUGCAUACUAUUAACUAUUGCAUAAAAGUAAAUAUUGGAAAGUAAAAGGUAGGCCCUUCGUAGAGGGAAGCAGAGGUUGUCAUGCGCUUUUUUGUUUUGUAUGCACAAUCCCUUAAUGCAAAAGAACAUCACGUUAUAUUGCCCCUUAUGAUAGCAACCUUUAUUAUGCAGUCUGUCACUUUUAUUACUUUGCCAUCAGAAGUUCAUACAAUGCUCAUUUUCUCUUGCACUAAAUGAUCAAACAUAUUUAGAAGCAAUUUUUAUUUCCUUUUUGCACCGAUGACAACUUACUUGAAGGAUUUUAUUUAAUCCAUAGGUAGGUAUGGUGGACACUCAUGGCAAGAAACUGGGUUUAAGGGCUUUGGGAUGCACAAGUAGUAUCUGUACUUAGUGCGAAUUUUUGGUUAGCAAAAGAUCCUAAGCAAACACCACAUGUUGGAGGAUCCAUAACAAUAUAACUUCUAUGCAAAUAUACACAACCAUAACUCAUUGCGUUGUCUUCCUUGUCCAACUUCAACUAAUUUGCCCAAGUUUGAAAAUAAUUAAUGGGUAUUCACAAUCAUAGAAGAUGUCCAAGAUAAUAUAUUUAUAUGUGAAAGUUAUCUUCCUUGUACCAAUCAAUCAUGAAUUGCUUGUAUGACCAAUAUUGUGACUGUCAAGCUUCAAAAGAUUUCACUUUCUAAACCCAAUGUGAAGCUACUACUAGGCAUGACUUGAACAUAUAAUUUCAACUUCAUGGUAUUCAACUCAUUCAACAAUUUACUCAUAGGAUAUAAGUGAAGCACAAGAGCAAACAAUCAAACUACUUCCAAAAGAUACAAGUGAAGAUCAAUGAGUAGUUAAACAAUCAAGUAGCUAUGUGAGGACUCUCUCUUAAUAAAGAUUUCCAGAUCUGAUAUUUUAUUUCAAACAACAAAUAAAACAAAAGGCACUCCAAGAAUAGCACAUAUCAUGUGGACAAAUAAAAACUUAGGCUCAACAUAGGCUAACCGAUAUUUGUUCCAUGAAGAGAGGUUGGAUGCGUAGCAUCCCCAAGCUUAGAUGCUUGAGACUUCUUGAAAUAUUUACUUGGGGAAGAGCAUACCCCCGGGUGGAAGAAGUUGCAUGAGAAGAAAAUUGCCUCAGAGGGACAGUUGAAAGACCUCGUAGCGGAACUUAUGAAAGACUUGGCUAAGCUCUACAUCGAGUGUGAGGAGCUCGUGAAGGAAUUAGUGGCUCGUGUGAAGGAACUUCAUGCGUAUAUGAAGGAUAGCAUCGACGCUCUCAAGCAAAAAACCUGCAACAUGGCCACAAUGCGUAAGAUGAUGGAGGAGAGUCAAGAGGAUAUGAAAGUCGUGGAGGCGAUGAAUAAGGGGAUUGGGGAACUCCGAUCCAAGCAAUCCAUCAAGAAUUAGAUAGGAGCGUCCCUGAUCGUUGUUUGUGUCUUCCUUCUUCUGCCACUUCCUUCUUCUUUUGCCCCUGUGUCUUUUGGGAGUUCCCACAUGUAGCAUUUUUUAUUAUCCUAAAUAUGUAAGACAAUUAUUAUCCUUUGCCGAUGCGGAUUUGUCGUUGUAUUAUUUUGUUCUUAAGUACAUGUAUACGAGUUGAAAAUAGGCGAAAAGUCAAGUUCUUAGCGAGGCACGAACAAAACAAUGCUUACAUUGAGUGGGGCAAUGGGAUCACAAGCAACUAGUCCCUUCGUCCAGGCACAUUAACCGCAUGAUAAACAGCGGGUCGGACACAGUUAAUUCAGAAGUUGGGAGCAAGGCGAGCGGAGGGUGGAGGUCAUAGUAUCACUUCCCGAUGAGCCUACACAGCAGACUACUCUCAUGCACCCCGUCGAGUCUGUGCGAUGGACAGAUAUCACGCGUCUCGUCGAGCCUGCGCGGCAAACAACUCUCAUGUUCUCCGCUGAGCGUGUGCGGCGGAAAGUUCGCACACGCCCUACCAUCAAACAGCUGCACGCAAGGAACACCCAUAUCAAGUAAAAAAAAGUUGGAUGUGUGGCACCAAAUGGUUAUCAGAACGCACACGAUUCACGUAAUGCAAUCUUUUGUGAUAAUAAUGUGGCAACUAUCUAUACUAAAAUGUCUAUGUUGCUUGUUAUUGUGUGAGCCUUCUCAAAUUGGAAAACAUACGGUACCAAGGCCUAUAGGUGUCAUGUCAUGACACCGGGGUAAGUUUCAUGAAUUUCAUAUGAGUUUUGUAUUUACAGGAAUUCAAAAAACAAGAUUCUCAAUGAUUGCGGCUGAGACACCAUGCCUGAAUAUUUGUACUUCAUCCACAUUCAUUGCAUGGGACCUAAGAAAGCACCCAGGGACACAAAAAUGAUUUUUCAACAAAUUAUGUUGCACUAGAGCAUGUGCUUCUAGUACAAGAUUUGGAUGACCCAUAUUAGAUCCCUAGAAAACUCAACUGAUUUAUAAAAAGGGCCAAAUGCCCCCUACAUAAUUCCAUAUUUCACCACGCCACCAAUACUAGUCUUUGUUGCAUAUAUAAAAAAUUCCAGUCAAGAGAAUACAUUGAAUGUAGUUUCACCCCAAAGGUGACAUGUUCCCUAUAGAAAUCACAAGUCUUCUUGCAUAAGCCUUGGCUUGUAAGAUGCAUGUCCCAAUACUUGUCUCAAAUUGAUCAUAAAAAUUAGCACGCCGUAUAUGUGUCGUGGCGUAACACUAGGUAAGUUUCAUGAAUUUCAAACGAGUUUUGGAUUUUCGAGGUUUAACAACCAAGAUUCUCAAUGUUUGCGGCCUAUUCACGAUGCCAAGAUGUUUGUAAAUCAUUCACAUCCAGUGCAUGGGAUCUAAAUAGGGACCCAAUGACACAAAAAAUGUUUUUCAACACAUUUUGGUGCCCUCGAGCAUGUGCUUGUAGUUCAAAUUUGAGUUUUGCACAUUAAGUGCCUAAAAAACUCAAUGUCAUUUUCGCCCACAAAUGUGACAUGUUCCCUAUCGAAAUGAUGAGGCUUAUCAUGGGAAGCUCCAAUUUGUAAGAGAUUUGUCCCAAAAUAUGUCCCACGUUGGUCAAAAAAUUUAGCACAACGUACAUGUGGUGUGUCAAGACACUUGGGUAAGUUUCAUGAAUUUCAGACGAGUUUUGGAUUUGUGGGGAUAUAAAAACCCGAAUCCUCAAUGUUUGGAGCCUAGUCACAAUGUCGAGAUGGUCGUAAUCCAUUCACAUUCAUUGCAUGGGACGUAAACAGGGACCCAAGGACACAAAAACGAUUUUCCAACCCAUUUUGGUGUCGUGGAGCAUGUACUUGUAGUUCAAAUUUCAAUUAUGCCCAUUAAUUGUCUAGCAAACUCAAUUAACGUAUAAAGGGGCCAAACGAGCCGUGAAUGAUUACACAUUUUAGCACUGCACUUGUAUUAGUCGAUGUUGCAUGUAGAGAAAAAAAUUAAGAAAUUAAGAGGCGCUGAAUGUCGUUCCGCCUACACAGGUGACAAUUUCCCUACUGAAACCAUGAUGCUUCUUGAGAGAAGCUCUCGUGUGCAAGAGACUUGUCCCAAAUUGGUCAAAAAUAUACCAUGUCAUAUAAGUGUCGUGUCAUGACAUCGGGGUAAGUUUCAUGAAUUUCACACGAGUUUUGGAUUUUGGGGGAUUUAAAAGUCAAUUUUCUCAAUGUUUGCGACCUGGUCACAACGCCGAGAUGUUUGCAAUCCAUUCACAUUCAUUGCACGAGACCUAAAUAGGGACCCAAGGACACAAAUAUGAUUUUUAACCCAUUUUGGUGACAUGGAGCUUGUGCUUUUAGUUCAAAUUUAAAUUAUGCACGUUGAUGACCCACAAGUAUAGGGGAUCAAUCGUAGUCCUUUCGAUAAUUAAGAGUGUCGAACCCAACGAGGAGCAGAAGGAUCUGACAAGUGGUUUCAGCAAGGAAAUAUCUGCAAGCACUGAAAUUAUUGGUAACAAGUGAUUGUGUGGUGAGAUGAUUCGUAGCAAGCAACAAGUAACAAAAGUAGCAACGAUGCAGCAAAGUGGCCCAAUCCCUUUUGUAGCAAGGGACAAGCCUGGCAAAGUCUUAUAGGAGGAAAAACGCUCCCGAGGACACACGGGAAUUUCUGUCAUGCUAGUUUCAUCAUGUUCAUAUGAUUCGCGUUCGUUACUUUGAUAGUUUGAUAUGUGGGUGGACCAACGCUUGGGUACUUCCCUUACUUGGACAAGCAUCCCACUUAUGAUUAACCCCUCUCGCAAGCAUCCACAACUACGGAAGAAGAAUUAAGACAAAGUCUAACCAUAGCAUUAAACUAGUGGAUCCAAAUCAGCCCCUUACGAAGCAACACAUAAACUAGGGUUUAAGCUUCUGUCACUCUAGCAACCCCAUCAUCUACUUACUACUUCCCAAUGCCUUCCUCUAGGCCCAAAUAAUGGUGAAGUGUUAUGUAGUCGACGUUCACAUAACACCACUAGAGGAAAAACAACUUACAACACAUCAAAAUAUCGAACAAAUACCAAAUUCACAUGACUACUAUUAGCAAGACUUAUCCCAUGUCCUCGGGAACAAAAGUAACCACUCACAAAGCAUAAUCAUAUUCAUGACCAGAGAGGUAAUGAGUAGCAUCAAGGAUCUGAACACAAACUCUUCCACCAAAUAAUCCAACUAGCAUCAACUACAAAGAGUAAUCAACACUACUGGCAACCUUACAAGUACCAAUCGGAGUCGCGAGACGGAGAUUGGUUACAAGUGAUGAACUAGGGUUUGGAGAUGAGAUGAUGCUGAUGAAGAUAUUGAUGGUGAUGAGUCCCCUCCAAUGAGAGGAGUGUUGGUGAUGACGAUGGCGACGAUUUCCCCCUCCGAGAGGGAAGUUUCCCAGGCACGAUCGUCCUGCCGGAGCUCUAGAUUGGUUCUGCUCAAGUUCCGCCUCGUGGCGGCGGCGAAUCCACGAAAAAGCUCCUCGCUGAUUUUUUUUUCUGGACGAAACCCUUCAUAUAGCAGAAGAGGGGGGCCAGUGGGCCAGCAGGCUGCCCACAAGCCCCCUUGGAGCGGCCUCGGGGGUGGCAGCGCCGUGCAGGCUUGUGGCCACCUACUAGCGCCCCUCUGGCGCUUCUUCAGCCUAGUAUUUUUUAUAAAUACGGAAAAAAAAUCCUCGUUGAUUUUACGGUGUUUGGAGUUGCGCAGAAUAGGUAUCUCAACUUUGCUCCUCUUUCAGGCCAGAAUUCCAGCUGCAUGCAUUCUCCCUCUUCAUGUAAACCUUGCAAAAUAAGGGAGAAAAGGCAUAAGUAUUGUACCGUCAAGUGAAAUAACAGCCCAAGAAGCGAUAAUACUAACAUGAAAACAUGAUGCAAAAUGGACGUAUCAACUCCCCCAAGCUUAGACCUCGCUUGUCCCCAAGCGAAAGCCUAGCUCAAUAAAUAUGUCCACAUGUUUAGGCAGAGAGGUCUCGACAAAACAAGAUACGAGCAUGCAUGCAUCAUGAUCAUGAUCAUAACAGCCAUACCAACAUAUAAUCUCUCAUGCUAAAGUGAUAAUUCCUUCACAAAGUAAAGCAUGGAUCAAGAACCUUACCGAGAAGUAACAACCGACAACCUUUAGUCAUUGAAGCAAUUGCAAUUUAUCACAACAUCAGAAAGAGUCAAAUAAGAGCUUGUAAAGCAAAUACACAUACUCAAUCAUUCUUUCGUUCUCUACAAUUGCUACAACGCACGUUGUACUCAUGAGAUCAAAGUUUCAGCUGGACACAGAGAAAGAUAGGGGCUUACACUUUUGCCUCCAAACUGCUUACCUCAAGGGUAACUUCAACAAUAAUAAUUCAUGAAUACUUACUUCCAAGUUGACAUAUGAAUAUAGAUCUUUCCCAAGCAUAUGAUGGUAGCCAAGAUAAAGGCGAAAUAAGGAAUUGGUGAAGAUCACCGUGACUCUUUCAAGGGAAAAAAGUAAAGGUACAAGAUAGGCCCUUCGUAGAGGGAAGCAGAGGUUGUCAUGCGCUUUUGAGGUUUGGAUGUGUGUCCUCUUAGUGCGGAGGAACGUCAUUUUAUAUUGCCUCCUGUGAUAAAGAACUUUAUUAUGCAGUUUGUCGCUUUUAUGUCUUCCUCGUCACAGGUUCGUAUGAAGCUUAUUUUCCACACACUAAUAGAUCAUGCAUAUUAGAGAGCAAUUUUUAUUGCUUGCACCGAUGACAACUUACUUGAGGGAUCUUAUUCAAUCCAUAGGUAGGUAUGGUGGACUCUCAUGGCAAAUCUGGGUUGAAGGUUUAUGGAUGCACAAGUAGUAUCUCUACUUGGUGCCGGAGUUUUGGAUAAUAUGAGGUGGAAGAAAUCGUCACAUGCUAAGGGAUCUCUAAUCAUAUAACAUUGUUCGGAGUCAAGCAAACACAAUUCAUUAUGUUGUCUUCCUUGUCCAACAUCUACUUGUAGGCAUGCAAUAGUUUAGUGAGUGUUCACAAUCAUAGAUGGUGUGAGAGAUGAUAUAUUUAUAUGUGAACCUAUCCUUCUUUAUCACUUCCUAUUAAUUGCAACAAUGACCAAGGUCUACGUUUGUCUACCCUCAACAUGUUUCAAUCAUCAUUCUUUUUAUAUGUGAAGCCAUCACUUCCCAUAAGAUCAUUACAUGAUCUUUCAUGCUUUUGUUCUUUUCUCACUCUUUUGAUCAUGGCAAGAGGCAUAUCCCUUCAACUAAGACACUCUUUAUUAUAUGGCUCACGAGCUCGAAUACAUCGGGGGUGACACAAAGCAAAACUCAAGACUAAAACACUAAGACUUUUAAACUACUAGAGAAAAAGAAAGAAAACUGAAAAGGAACAAACUAAAACAAAGGUAAAGGCAAAAGAUGUGAUGGUGAUACGAUACCGGGGCAACUCCCCCAAGCUUGGCACCAGCCAAGGGGAUUGCCCAUACCCACGCUCAGUUAUAUUCCUUUGGUGAUGAUGGUGGUGGAGUUGUUGCAACCUUUGAUUCCAAGAGGGCCAUCAAUCUUUGAUUUAUACCUUGGAGAUCUGUGAUAUAUUUCUCCAACAAAACAACUUCACGAGUGAGAUAAGUAUUGCGAGCAAGAGUUGUUUCACAAAACCUCAAGAGUUCAAUAAAGGAUGGAGACAGUAGGUCGAGGUAGGGUUGGAGGAAAUCCACUUCUUCAACUUCUUCCUUGUUGAGCACAGAUUGCACUUCAUCCCACGCGUGAUCUUUCUCCUUAUCUUUCUCCUUGGUUUCUUUAGGUAACCUCUCCUUAGCCUCCAUGACCUCCAUCCUUUUCAGAUCAGCAUGUAUUUCUCCAUAGACUUGAGGGAGAUUGUUCUCCCCCACAAAUUCCUGGGACGACAUCUUGUCCUAAAUCUGCGGCAGAAAACAGGCUCGAAACGAAAAACAGAGGAAAUCUGCGUGAUACGAGGGUCAGACCAAACGGGAGAGUAUAUAUUGAAUUUUUUCCAGACCAGAAGGAGUACUCCGCACGAAAACGGGGUCCGGGAGGCGCACGAGGUGGCCACAAGCCCUCCCGGCGCGGCCAGGGGGUGGGCCCGCGCCGGGCAGGCUUGUCGCCUCCUCGCGCACUUCCCGAACUAUUUCCAAUUUUUGUAUUUUUUCAAAUAUUCCAAAACGGAGAAAAUUUUGGACUCUCUUUUCAUACCGAAUCACAUACCUCUUCGUUUUCGGAGUCUCAAACAAACUGAUAAAUGUCCCGUAGGUAUUCUUCCGGAGUUAUGGUAUUGAUGAUAUUGCUUUCAACAUUUAUGGGAGUACCUGAGAUAUAAUGCUUGAUUCUCUGCUCAUUUACAACUCUCGGACAAUUACCUUCCGUGUUGUUGAUCUUGAUAGCACCGGAGCGAUAUACUUCCUCAACAACAUAGGGACCNNNNNNNNNNNNNNNNNNNNNNNNNNNNNNNNNNNNNNNNNNNNNNNNNNNNNNNNNNNNNNNNNNNNNNNNNNNNNNNNNNNNNNNNNNNNNNNNNNNNUUCCCAUUUAGAGAGAAGCUUGCCUACAAAGAAUCUUAAACGAGAGUUAUAUAGCAAGACAUAAUCACCUACAUUGAACUAACGCUUUUGUAUCCUCUUAUCAUGCCACCUCUUAACCUUCUCUUUGAACAACUUGGCAUUCUCAUAUGCCUGAGAUCUCCAUUCAUCAAGCGAGUUAAUAUCAAAUAACCUCUACUCACCGGCAAGUUUGAAAUCAAAGUUGAGCUCUUUGAUUGCCCAAUAAGCUUUAUGCUCUAGCUCAAGAGGUAAAUGACAUGCUUUACCGUACACCAUUUUGUACGGAGACAUGCCCAUGGGAUUCUUAUACGCAGUCCUAUAAGCCCACAGUGCAUCAUCGAGCUUCUUAGACCAAUUCUUUCUAGACCUGUUGGUAGUCUUUUGCAGAAUCAGGUUAAUCUCUCUAUUGCUUAGCUCUACUUGACCAGUGGACUAGGGGUGAUAGGGAGAUGCAAUUCUAUGGUUGACAUCGUACUUAGCAAGCGUUUUACGGAAAGCACCAUGAAUGAAAUGUGAACCACCAUCGGUCAUUAGAUAUCUAGGGACUCCAAAUCUAGGGAAAAUAACUUCUUUAAGCAUCCUGAUAGAAGUGUUGUGAUCAGCACUACUAGUGGGGAUAGCUUCUACCCACUUAGUGACGUAAUCAACAACAACUAGGAUGUGAGUAUACCCGUUGGAUUUUGGAAAAGGUCUUAUAUAAUCAAAGCCCCAAACAUCAAAUGGUUCAAUGACAAGUGAAUAGUUCAUAGGCAUUUCCUGACGUUUACCGAUAUUGCCUACUCUUUGACAUUCGUCACAAGACAAGACAAACUUACGCGCAUCCUUAAAGAGAGUGGGCCAAUAGAAACCUGAUUGGAAUACCUUGCGUGCAGUUCUAUCUCCCGCAUGGUGUCCUCCAUAGGCCUUGGAGUGACACUUCUGUAGGAUCUGUCCCUGUUCAUGUUCAGGUACACAACGUCUAAUAACACCAUCUACUCCUACCUUAUAAAGGUGAGGAUCAUUCCAAAAGUAAUGUCUCAAGUCAAAGAAGAAUUUCUUCUUUUGCUGGUAUGUGAAACUAGGUGGUAUAUAUAUUUGGCAACGAUAUAGUUUGCAUAAUCAACAUACCACGGUGCACUACGUGAAGCAUUGAUGACAUUCAAUUGCUUAUCGGGAAAGCUAUCAUCAAUAGGUUGUGGGUCAUCAAGAACGUUCUCCAACCUAUACAAGUUAUCUGCUACGGGGUUAUCAGCACCCUUUCUGUCGACAACGUGCAAAUCAAACUCUUGUAGCAAGAGAACCUAUCUGAUAAGUCUAGGUUUAGCGUCCUUCUUCUCCAUGAGGUACUUAAUGGCAGCGUGAUCAGUGUGAAUAGUGACUUUGGAAUCAACUAUGUAAGACCUGAACUUUUCACAUGCAAACACGACUGCUAAAAACUCCUUCUCCGUAGUAGCAUAGUUUCUUUGGGCACAGUCUAGAGUUUUACUAGCAUAGUGAAUAACAUUCAACUUCUUGUCAACUCUUUGCCCUAGAAUAGCACCAACAACAUAAUCACUAGCAUCACACAUGAUCUCAAAAGGCAAGCUCCAAUCAGCUGGUUGAACAAUAGGUGCAGUUAUCAAAGCCCUCUUAAGUAUUUCGAAGGCUUCCUCACAAUCGUCGUCAAAGAUAAAAGGAAUAUCCUUUUGCAAGAGAUUGGUAAGAGGCCUAGAAAUCUUACAGAAGUCUUUAAUGAACCUUCUAUAGAAGCCAGCAUGACCAAGGAAACUUCUUAUACCUUUGAUAUAUGUGGGGUAUGGCAUUUUCUCGAUUGCAUCAACCUUAGCCUUAUCGACUUCAAUACCUCUUUCAGAAAUUUUAUGUCCUAAGACGAUGCCUUCAUUAACCAUAAAGUGGCACUUCUCCCAAUUCAAGACAAGAUUGGUGUCUUUACAUCUCUGCAAGACUGGAUCAAGGUUGCUGAGGCAAUCAUCAAAGGAAGACCCGUAAACGGAGAAGUCAUCCAUGAAAACCUCAACAAUCUUUUCACAAAAGUCAGAGAAUAUAGCCAUCAUACAUCUUUGAAAGGUGGCAGGUGCAUUACAUAAGCCAAAAGGCAUACGUCUAUAAGCAAAGGUACCGAAAGGGCAAGUGAAAGUGGUCUUCUCCUGAUCAGAUUGCGCAACUGGUAUUUUGGAGAAACCAUAAUAACCGUCUAGAAAGUAGAAGUGUGUGUGUUUAGACAGCCUUUAUAGCAUUUGGUCGAUAAAAGGUAAAGGGUAAUGAUCUUUCCUAGUGGCUUUAUUCAAUUUCCUAAAAUCGAUCACCAUCCUAUAGCCAGUAAUAAUCCUCUGUGGGAUUAAUUCAUGCUUAUCAUUAGGGACAACGGUAAUGCCUCCCUUCUUAGGGACGCAAUGCACCGGACUCACCCAAUCACUAUGAGCAACAGGAUAGAUGAUACCUACUUCCAGGAGCUUUAGUAUUUCUUUUCUCACUACUUCUUUCAUCUUAGGAUUUAAUCUCCUUUGAUGAUCAGCAACUGGUUUGAAAUGAGGAUCAAUUUUAAUCUUGUGCUAGCAUAGAAUAGGACUAAUGCCCUUAAGAUCAUCUAGAGUAUAUCCAAUAGCAGCAUGGUGCUUCCUCAGAUUUUUUAGUAACUUCUUUUCUUUAUGCUAUGAGAGGCUAGCACUAAUAAUAACAAGAUAUAUCUCUUUUUCAUCAAGAUAAGCAUACUUAAGAGUAUCACGCAACUGUUUAAGCUCGAACACAGGAUCAGCCUUUGGUGGGGGUGGAUACCCAAGCAGUUCAACAGGCAGAUUAUUCUUAAGGAUAGGAUAUUGUUCUAAGACAACUCUAUCUAUCUCAUCCCUUUCAUCCAUAUGCAUAUCAUUUUCAUGCUCAAGCAAGUAUUGCUCUAAGGGAUCAGUAGGAGGCACGGCAUUAGAAUCUAAGGCAAUAGUUUCAUCCUUACUAGGCAACUCCUUUUCAUGAGGUUGUCUACCAAACUUAGAGAAAUUGAACUCAUGUGACACACCUUCAAAGCCAACAGUGACAGUUUGCUUCUCACAAUCAAUAUGAGCAUUGACAGUAUUGAGGAAGGGUCUGCCAAAUAUGAUGGGACAAAAGCUAUCUCGUGCAGUAGCAAGAACGAGGAAAUCAGCAGGAUACUUCGUUUUACCACACAAGACUUCAACAUCCCUAACAAUUCCAACAGGGCAGAUAGUAUCUCUAUUGGCAAGCUGAAUAGUGACAUCAAUAGGUUCUAUCUCAACAGGUGCAAUCUCGUCUUUGAUUUCAUCAUAUAAGGAUUGAGGUAUUGGACUAACACUAGCACCCACGUCACAUAAGCCAUGAUAACAAUGAUCUGCUAUCUUAACAGAAACAACAGGCAUGCCAACAACAAGCCUAUGUUUGUCUCUAGCGUGAGGUUUAGCAAUUCUAGCAGCAUCUUCACAGAAGUGCAUAUUAUGUUCAUCAACAUCGUCGUACAGAAGAUCUUUGAUGAUAGCAAUACUAGGUUCAACUCUAAUUUGCUCAGGGGGUGUAGGUGUUCUAAUAUAGCCUCUACGUAUAACAGUUGAAGCUUUAGAAUGAUCCUUUAUCCUAACAGGGAAAGGUGGUUUCUCAAUGUAAGCACUGGGAACAAUAGGAUCAUUAUAGGCAAUGACUUUCUCUUCAACUGGAAUGGGUUUAACUACAUUAACUUCUAAAGGAGGAUGAUAUUUAAACCACUUCUCUUUGGGGAGAUCAAUAUGAGAAGCAAAGGAUUCACACAGUGAAUCUACUAUCGCAGAGUCAAGUCCAUACUUAGCGCUAAAGUCACAGAAAGUAUUUGUCUCAACAAAGUAUUUAACGCAAUCAAACGUGAAAUUCAUACCUGACUCCUUACCUUCUUCAAGCUCCCAAUCUUUAGAGUUGCGUUUAAUUCGCUCCAAUAAAUUACAUUUGAAGUCAAUAUCUCUCUUCAUAAAAGAACCGGUACAAGAAGUGUCAAGCAUGAUGCGAUCAUCAUGAGAAAGCCGAGCAUAGAAGUUCUGAAUGAUAAUUUCUCUCGAGAGCUCAUGAUUGGGGCAUGAAUAUAGCAUUGAUUUAAGCCUCCCCCAAGCUUGAGCGAUGCUUUCUCUGUCACGAGGCCAAAAAUUAUAAAUAUAAUUCCGAUCACGAUGUACUAAAUGCAUAGGAUAAAACUUUUGAUGAAAUUCCAAUUUCAACCGAUUGUAGCCCCAUGAUCCAAUAUCAUCACAUAGCCUAUACCAUGCCAACAUCUUAUCCUUCAAAGAUAAAGGAAAGACCUUCUUCUUGACCUCAUCCUCAGGCAAACCUGCAAGCUUAAAUAAACCACAAACUUCAUCUACAUAGAUUAGAUGCAAGUCUCGAUGUGCUGUUCCAUCUCCUGUAAAAGGAUUAGCCAGCAGUUUCUCAAGCAUACCCGAAGGAAAUCCAAAGCAAAUAUUUUCAGUAGGUGCAGCAGGUUGAGGAGCAACUAUUUGUGCUUCCGUUCGAGGUGAAGAUACCCCGAACAAGCCCCUCAAAGGAUUAGUAUCCAUAGUGACAAGUGACAAUAAAUUUCAGCACACUAUAUGAAUGUUUCCUUACCAAGUUCCACUUAGCAAAGGCGCUUCACUCCCCGGCAACGGCGCCAGAAAAGAGUCUUGAUGACCCACAAGUAUAGGGUAUCAAUCGUAGUCCUUUCGAUAAGUAAGAGUGUCGAACCCAACGAGGAGCAAAAGGAUCUGACAAGUGGUUUUCAGCAAGGAAAUAUCUCCAAGCACUGAAAUUAUCGGUACCAAGUGAUCGUGUGGUGAGAUGAUUCGUAGCAAGCAACAAGUAACAAAAGUAGCAACGGUGCAGCAAAGUGNUUUGAUAUGUGGGUGGACCAACGCUUGGGUACUGCCCUUACUUGGACAAGUAUCCCACUUAUGAUUAACCCCUCUCGCAAGCAUCCGCAACUAUGAAAGAAGAAUUAAGACAAAGUCUAACCAUAGCAUUAAACUAGUGGAUCCAAAUCAGCCCCUUACGAAGCAACGCAUAAACUAGGGUNNNNNNNNNNNNNNNNNNNNNNNNNNNNNNNNNNNNNNNNNNNNNNNNNNNNNNNNNNNNNNNNNNNNNNNNNNNNNNNNNNNNNNNNNNNNNNNNNNNNNNNNNNNNNNNNNNNNNNNNNNNNNNNNNNAGCUUCUGUCACUCUAGAAACCCAUCAUCUACUUACUACUUCCCAAUGCCUUCCUCUAGGCUCAAAUAAUGGUGAAGUGUUAUGUAGUCGGCGUUCACAUAACACCACUAGAGGAAAAACAACAUACAACACAUCAAAAUAUCGAACGAAUACCAAAUUCACAUGACUACUAUUAGCAUGAGUUAUCCCAUGUCCUCAGGAACAAAAGUAACUACUCACAAAGCAUAAUCAUAUUCAUGACCAGAGAGGUAAUGAGUAGCAUCAAGGAUCUGAACAUAAACUCUUCCACCAAAUAAUCCAACUAGCAUCAACUACAAAGAGUAAUCAACACUACUAGCAACCUUACAAGUACCAAUCGGAGUCGCGAGACGGAGAUUGGUUACAAGUGAUGAACUAGGGUUUGGAGAUGAGAUGGUGAUGAGUCCCCUCCGAUGAGAGGAGUGUUGGUGAUGACGAUGGCGAUGAUUUCCCCCUCCGGGAGGGAAGUUUUCCCGGCAGGAUCGUCCUGCCGGAGCUCUAGAUUGGUUCUACUCAAGUUCCGCCUCGUAGCGGCGGUGAAUACACGAAAAAGCUCCUCGCUGAUUUUUUUUCCCUGGACGAAUCCACGAAUCAAUGUGACUUAGUGUAAGUCACGGGAUCUUGUAUUACAGAACGAGUAAAGAGACUUACCGGUAAACCAGAUUGAAAUAGGUAUGCCGAUACUAACGAUCGAAUCUCGGGCAAGUAACAUACCGAAGGACAAAGGGAAUGACAUACGUGGUUAUAUGAAUGCUUGGCACUGAGGUUCAAUCGAUAAGAUCUUCGUAGAAUAUGUAGGAUCCAAUAUGGGCAUCCAGGUCCCGCUAUUGGAUAUUGACCAAGGAGUCCCUCGGGUCAUGUCUACAUAGUUCUCGAACCCGCGGGGUCUGCACUCUUAAGGUUCGACGUUGUUUUAUGCGUAUUUGUGUUAUAUGGUUGGUUACCGAAUGUUGUUCGGAGUCCCGAAUGAGAUCACGGACGUCACGAGGGUUUCCGGAAUGGUCCGGAGACAAAGAUUGAUAUAUAGGAUGACCUCAUUUGAUUACUGGAAAGUUUUCGGCAUUACCGGGAAUGUACCGGGAGUGACGAAUGGGUUCCGGAUGUUCACCGGGGGGCAGCCCACUCGGGGGAAGCCCAUGGACCUUAGGGGUGCCGCACCAGCCCUUAGUGGGCUGGCGGGACAGCCCAAGCGGCCCUAUGCGCAGGAGAAGAAAAAAAUCAAAGGAAAAAGAAAAAAAGGGAAGUGGGAAGGAAGGGAAGGACUCCACCUUCCAAUCCUAGUUGGACUAGGAUUGGAGGAGGAUUCCUCCCCCCCUUGCUUCGGCCGACCCCUUGGGGCUCUCUUGAGCCUCAAGGCAAGGCCCUCCCCCUCCCUCCUAUAUAUACUGAGGUAUUAGGGCUGAUUUGAGACAACUUUGCCACGGCAGCCCGAUCACAUACCUCAACGGUUUUUCCUCUAGAUCGUAUUUGUGCGAAGCUCGGGCGGAGCCCUGCUGAGAUAGAUCACCACCAACCUCCGGAGUGCCGUCACGCUGCUGGAGAACUCAUCUACCUCUCCGUCUCUCUUGCUGGAUCAAGAAGGCCAAGCUCAUCGUCGAGCUGUACGUGUGCUGAACGCGGAGGUGCCGUCCGUUCGGCACUAGAUCGGAGCGGAUCGUGGGACGGAUCGCGGGACGGUUCGUGGGACAGUUCGCGGGGCGGAUCGAGGGCCAUGAGGACGUUCCACUACAUCAACCGUGUUUCUUAGCGCUUCCUGCUGUGCGAUCUACAAGGGUACGUAGAUCCAAACCCCCUCUCAUAGAUGGACAUCACCAUGAUAGGUCUUCAUGCGCGUAGGAAAUUUUUUAUUUCCCAUGCGACGUUCCCCAACAGUGGUAUCAGAGCUUGGUUCAUGCGUAAAUGUUAUCUCGAGUAGAACACAAAAGUUUUUGUGGGCGGUGAUGUGCGAUUUGCUGCCCUCCUUAGUCUUUUCUUGAUUAUGCGGUAUUGUUGGAUCGAAGCGGCUCGGACCGACAUUACUCGUACGCUUACGAGAGACUGGUUUCGUCGCUACGAGCAACCCCGUUGCUCAAAGAUGACCGGCGAGUGUCGGUUUCUCCAACUUUAGUUGAAUCGGAUUUGACCAAGGAGGUCCUUGGAGAGAGGUUAAAUAGCAAUUCAUACAUCUCCGUUGUGGUGUUUGCGUAAGUAAGAUGCGAUCCUACUAGAUACCCAUGGCAACCGCGUAAAACAUGCAACAACAAUUAGAGGACGUCUGACUUGUUUUUGCAGGGUAUGCUUGUGAUGUGAUAUGGCCAACGACGUGAUGUGAUAUAUUGGAUGUAUGAGAUGAUCAUGUUGUAAUAGUUAAUAUCGACUUGCACGUCGAUGGUACGGCAACCGGCAGGAGCCAUAGGGUUGUCUUUAAACUAACGUUUGUGUUUGCAGAUGCGUUUACUAUAUUGCUAGGAAGUAGCUUUAGUAGUAAUGGCAUAAGUAGCACGACAACCCCGAUGGCGACACGUUGAUGGAGAUCAUGGUGUGGAGCUGGUGACAAGAAGAUUGUGUCGGUGCUUUGGUGAUGGAGAUCAAGAAGCACAUGAUGAUGGCCAUAUCAUGUCACUUAUGAAUUGCAUGUGAUGUUAAUCCUUUUAUGCACCUUAUUUUGCUUAGAACAACGGUAGCAUAAUGAGGUGAUCUCUCACUAAAAUUUCAAGACGAAAUUGUGUUCUCCCCGACUGUGCACCGUUGCUACAGUUCAUCGUUUCGAGACACCACGUGAUGAUCGGGUGUGAUAGACUCAACGUUCACAUACAACGGGUGCAAAACAGUUGCACACGCGGAACACUCGGGUUAAACUUGAGGAGCCUAGCAUGUGCAGACAUGGCCUUGGAACACAAGAGACCGAAAGGUCGAGCAUGAAUCAUAUAGUUGAUAUGAUUAGCAUAGAGAUGCUUACCACUGAAACUAUUCUCGACUCACGUGAUGAUCGGACUUGAGAUAGUGAAUUUGGAUCAUGUACCACUCAAAUGACUAGAGAGAUGUACUUUUUGAGUGGGAAUUCUUAAGUAAUAUGAUUAAUUGAACUAAUUAUCAUGAACAUAGUCUAAUGGUCUUUGCGAAUUAAGAUGUAGCUUGCGCUAUAGCUCUACUGUUUUUAUAUGUUCCUAGAGAAAAUUUAGUUGAAAGUUCAUAGUAUCAACUUUGCGGACUUAGUCCGUAAAACUGAGGAUUGUCCUCAUUGCUGCGUAGAAGGCUUAUGUCCUUAAUGCACCACUCGGUGUGUUGCACCUCAAGCGUCGUCUCUGGAUGUUGCGAACAUCUGACAUACACAUUUUUGAUGACUACGUGAUAGUUCAGUGCGCAAUACUUAAUGGCUUAGAAGCAAGGCGCCGAAGACAUUUUGAAAACGUUGCAGAACAUAAGAGAUGUUCAAGGAGAUGAAAUUGAGAUUUCAUGCUCAUGCCCUUGUUGAGAGAUAUAAGACCUCCGACAAGAUUCUUUGCCUACAAAGUAAAGGAGAAAAGCUCAAAAUCGUUGAGCAUGUUCUCAGAUUGUCUGAGUACAACGAUCGCUUGAAUCAAGUGGGAGUUAAUCUUCCAGAUAAGAUAGUGAUGGUUCUCCAAAGUCACUGCCACUAAGCUGCUAGAGCUUCGUGAUGAACUAUAACAUAUCAAGGAUAGAUACAAUGAUCCUUGAGCGAUUCGCGAUGUUUGACACUGCGAAAGUAGAAAUCAAUAAGGAGCAUCAAUAGUUGAUGGUUAGUAAAACCACUAAGUUUCAAGAAAGGCAAGGGCUAGAAGGGAUACUUCGUGAAACGGCAAAACAGUUGCUGCACUAAUGAAGAGACCCAAGAUUAAACCCAAACCCGAGACUAAGUGCUUUUGUUAUGAGGGGAACGGUCACUGAGGCAGAGCUACCCUAGAUGCUUGGUAGAUAAGAAGGCUGGCAAAGUCGACAGAAGUAUAUUUGAUAUACAUGAUGUUGAUGUGUACUUUACUAGUACUCCUAGUAGCGCGAGGGUAUUGGAUACCGGUUCGGUUACUAAGUGAUUAGUAACACGAAAUGAAAGCUACGGAAUAAACGGAGACUAGCUAAAAGCGAGGUGACGAUACGUGUUGGAAGUGUUUCCAAGGUUGAUAUGAUCAAAUGUCGCACGCUCCCUCUACCAUCGGGAUUUGUGUUAAACCUAAAUAAUUGUUAUUUGGUGCUUGCGUUAAGCAUGAACAUGAUUGGAUCAUGUUUAUUGCAAUACGAUUAUUCAUUUAAAAAGAAUAAUGGUUACUCUAUUUUCUUGAAUAAACACCUUCAAUGGUUUAUUAAAUCUCGAUCGUAGUGUUACACAUGUUCAUGAUAUUGGUGCCAAAAGAUACAAGGUAAUGAUGAUAGUACCACUUACUUGUGGCACUGCCGCUUGAGUCGUGUUGGUAUAAAUUGCAUGAAGAGGCUCUGUUCUGAUGGAUCUUUAUACUCACUUGAUUUUGAAUCACUUGUGACACGAAAAUCAUACCACAUGAGCAAGGCCUUGUUUUCAUUGAGAUGAGACAAGAUAGUAACUUGUUGGAAGUAAUACAUUUUGAUGUAUGAAGUCCAAUGGGUGUUGAGGCACACAGUGGAUAUCAUUAUGUUCUUACUUCAAUGACGAUUUGAGUAGAUACAUGAGUAUUUACUUAAUGAAUCACAAGUCUGAAAUAUUGAAAAAGUUCAAUUCUGUUUCAGAGUGAAGUUCGUCGUAACAAGAGGAUAAACUAUCUACGAUAUGAUCAUAGAGAUGAAUAUCUGAGUUGCGAGUUUUGGUACACAGUUAAGACAAUGUGGAAGUUGUUUUGCAGUUCAUGCCACCUGGAACACCAUAGUCAGAUGAUGUGUCCAAAUGUCAUAGCUAUGCCAUAUUUGAUAUGGUGCAUACUAUGAUGUCUCUUAUCGAAUUACCACUAUCGUUUAUGGGUUAUACAUUAGAGACAACCGCAUUCACUUUAAAUAGGGCACCGCGUAUUUCCGCUGAGAUGACACAGUAUAGACUAUGGUUUGGAGAAACCUAAGUUGUCGUUUCUUGAAAAUUUGGGGUUGCGAUGCUUAUGUGAAAAGGUUUUAGUCUGAUAAGCUCGAACCCAAAGCGGAUAAAUGCAUCUUCAUAGGAUAUCCAAAAUAAUUGGAUAUAUCUCCUAUCUCAAAUCCGGAAGCAAAGUGUUUGUUUCUAGAAACGGAUCCUUUCUCGAGGAAAGGUUUCUCUCGAGAGAAUUGAGUGGGAGAGUGGUGGAACUUGAUGAGGUUAUUGAACCGUCACUUCAACCAGUGUGUAGCAGGGCGCAGGAAGUUGUUCCUGUGGCGCCUACACCAAUUGAAGUGGAAGCUGAUGAUAGUGAUCAUUACAGCUUCGGAUCAAGUUACUACAAACCUCGUAGGUCGACAAAGGUCGCUUACUACUACAGAGUGGUACGGUAACCCUGUCUUGGAGGUCAUGUUGUUGAGCAACAAUGAACCUACGAGUUAUGGAGAAGCAAUGGUGGGCCCGGAUUCCGACAAAUGGCUGGAGGCCAUGAAAUCCGAGAGAGGAUCCAUGUAUAAAACAAAGUGUAGACUUUGGAAGAACUACUUGAUGGUAGUAAGACUAUUAAGAAAGGAUGGAUCUUUAAAAGGAAGACAAACGAUGAUGGUGAUAAGUCACUAUUAAGAAAAGCUCGACUUGUCACAAAGAUGUUUUCGACAAGAUCAAAGAGUUGACUAUGAUGUGACUUUCUCACUCGUAGCGAUGCUAAAAGUCUGUUGGAAUUAUGUUAGUAGUUGCUGCAUUAUUUAUGAAAUAUUGCACAUAUGAAGUCAAAACAUUGUUUCCUCGACGGUUUCCUCGAGGAAAGAUUGUAUGUGAUACAAUCAGAAUGUUUUGUCGAUCCUAAGGAUACUAACAAGUAUUCAAGCUCCAGCGAUCCUUCAAUGGACUGGUGCAAGCAUCCGGAGUUGGAAUAUACACUUUGAUGAGAUGAUCAAAGAUUUUGGGUUCAUAGAAGGUUUAUGAGAAACUUGUAUUUCCAAAGAAGUGAGUGGGAGCACUAUAGAUUUUAUGAUAAGUAUAUGUGGUUGACAUAUUGUUGAUCAGAAGUAAUGUAGAAUUUUUGUGAAGCAUAAAAGGUUGUUUGAAAGGAGUUUUUCAAAGGAAUACCUGGAUUGAGCUACUUGAACGUUGAGCAUCAAGAUCUAUGGAGAUAGGUCGAAACACUUAAUAGAAGUUUCAACAAGAUGCAUGCAUAGACAAGUUUUUGAAGGAGUUCAAAAUAGAUCAGCAAAGAAGGAGUUCUUGACUGUGUUGUAAGGUGUGAAUUUGAGUAAGACUCAAAACCUGACCAUGGCAGAAUAAAGAGAAUAUACGAAGGUCGUCUUCUAUGCCUUGGCAGUAGACUCUAAAGUAUGCCAUGCUGAGUACCGCACCUGAUGUGUGCCUUGCAGCAAGUCUGUUAAGAGGUACACGGAGUGAUCCAGGAUUGAAUCACUGAUCAGCGGUCAAAGUUAUCCUUAGUAACUAAAUGAACUAAGGAUUUUUUUUCUCGAUUAUGGAGGUGGUUAAAGAGUUCGUCGUAAAGGGCUACGUUGAUGCAAGCUUUGACACUAAUCUGAAUAACUAUGAGUAGUGAAACGGAUUCGUAUAGUAGAUAUUUGGAGUAUUUCCGAAUAGCACGUAGUAGCAGCAUCUAUAAGAUGGCAUAAAUAUUUGUAAAGCUCACUCGUAUCUGAAAGGGUUCAGAACCGUCGACUAAAACCUCUCUCACAAGCGAGACAUGGUCAAACCCCAGAACUGUAAGAGUGUUGGAUUCGUUAGAACCACAUAGGGAUGUGGACUAGAUUAUUGACUCUAGUGCAAGUGGGAGACUGUUGGAAAUAUGCCCUGGAGGCAAUAAUAAAUUAGUUAUUAUAUAUUUCUUUGUUCAUAAUAAUCGUUUAUUAUCCAUGCUAUAAUUGUGUUGAAUGAAGACUUAGAUACAUGUGUGGAUACAUAGACAAAACACUGUCCCUAGCAAGCCUCUAAAUUGGCUAGUCAGUUGAUCAAGGAUAGUCAAGGUCUUCUGACUAUGUACAAGGUGUUGUUGCUUGAUAACUGGAUCACAUCAUUGGGUGAAUCAUGUGAUGGACUAGACCCAAACUAAUGAACGUAGCAUGUUGAUCGUGUCAUUUUGUUGCUACUGUUUUCUGCGUGUCAAGUAUUUAUUCCUAUGACCAUGAGAUCAUAUAACUCACUGGCACCGGAGGAAUGCCUUAUGUGUAUCAAACGUAACAACGUAACUGGGUGACUAUAAAGAUGCUCUACAGGUAUCUCCGAAGGUGCCCGUUGAGUUAGUAUGGAUCAAGACUCGGAUUUGUCACUCCGUGUGACGGAGAGGUAUCUCGGGCCCACUCGGUAAUACAACAUCACACACAAGCCUUGCAAGCAAUGUGACUUAGUGUAAGUCACGGGAUCUUGUAUUACGGAACGAGUAAAGAGACUCACCGGUAAACGAGAUUGAAAUAGGUAUGCGGAUACUGACGAUCGAAUCUCGGGCAAGUAACAUACCGAAGGACAAAGGGAAUGACAUACGGGAUUAUAUGAAUGCCUGGCACUGAGGUUCAAUCGAUAAGAUCUUCGUAGAAUAUGUAGGAUCCAAUAUGGGCAUCCAGGUCCUGCUAUUGGAUAUUGACCAAGGAGUCCCUCGGGUCAUGUCUACAUAGUUCUCGAACCCGCACGGUCUGCACAUUUAAGGUUCGGCGUUGUUUUAUGCGUAUUUGAGUUAUAUGGAAUGUUGUUCGGAGUCUCGGAUGAGAUCACGGACGUCACGAGGGUUUCCGGAAUGGUCCGGAGAUGAAGAAUGAUAUAUAGGAUGACCUCAUUUGAUUACCGGAAAGUUUUCGGCAUUACCGAGAAUGUACCGGUAGUGACGAAUGGGAUCCGGAUGUUCACCGGGGGGCAGCCCGCCCGGGGGAAACUCAUAGGCCUUAGGGGUGCCGCACCAGCCCUUAGUGGGCUGGUGGUACAGCCCAAGAGGCCCUAUGCGCAGAGAAGAAAAAAUCAAAGGAAAAAGAAAAAAGGGGAAGUGGGAAGGAAGGGAAGGACUCCACCUUCCAAUCCUAGUUGGACUAGGAUUGGAGGAGGAUUCCUCCCCCCUUGCUUCGACCGACCCUUGGGGCUCUCUUGAGCCUCAAGGCAAGGCCCUCCCCCUCCCUCCUAUAUAUACUGAGGUAUUAGGGCUGAUUUGAGACAACUUUGCCACGGCAGCCCGACCACAUACCUCCACGGUUUUUCCUUUAGAUCGUAUUUUUGCGGAGCUCGGGCGGAACCCUGCUGAGAUAGAUCACCACCAACCUCCGGAGUGCCGUCACUCUGCCGGAGAACUCAUCUACCUCUCUGUCUCUCUUGCUGGAUCAAGAAGGCCAAGAUCAUCGUCGAGCUAUACGUGUGCUGAACGCGGAGAUGUCGUCCGUUCGACACUAGAUCGGAGCGGAUCGCGGGACGGUUCGUGGGACGAUUCGCGAGGCGGAUCGAGGGACGUGAGGACGUUCCACUACAUCAACCGCAUUUCUUAACGCUUCCUGUUGUGCGAUCUACAAGGGUACGUAGAUCCAAAUCCCCUCUCGUAGAUGGACAUCACCAUGAUAGGUCUUCGUGCGCGUAGGAAUUUUUUUGUUUCCCAUGCGACGUUCCCCAACACAAGUAAGGGCAAUACCCAAGCGUCGGUCCACCCACAUAUCAAACUAUCAAAGUAACAAACGGGAAUCAUAUGAACAUGAUGAAAACUAGCAUGACAGAAAUUCCCGUGUGUCCUCGGGAGCGUUUUUCCUCCUAUAAGACUUUGUCCAGGCUUGUCCCUUGCUACAAAAGGGAUUGGGCCACUUUGCUGCACCAUUGUUACUUUCGUUACUUGUUUCUUGCUACGAAUCAUCUCACCACACAACCACUUGUUACCGAUAAUUUCAGUUAGUGCAGACAUUACCUUGCUGAAAACCACUUGUCAUAUACUUCUGCUCCUCGUUGGGUUCGACACUCUUACUUAUCGAAAGGACUACGAUAGAUCCCCUAUACUUGUGGGUCAUCAGCCAGCGCCACAAAGAUGGGCUUACUUCCAAGGAACGGGUCGCUCUGCACAAUAUCAGAUCCUUUUGCGCGGGACUCCUCAAAAAAUUGGCGCCUCCCUUGCUCAAGGAAUUUGAAGGGCUACGUGGCGUCAAGGCAGGACAUGAUCCUUUCACCCCGAGGCGUGCAACUCACUCUAUCUCGUUGGGGGGCAAUCAGAAAUCGAAGGCUUCGGUGGCGACACAGUGCUGCUGAAAGCGCUGGGCUUCGACAGUAACAAUGUGGCUGUUUCUGAAGACGCACUUGGACAGCUACGUAUGGUCUUUGACUCACCCUUGCAGGAGCCGCAACUAAGAGCUAUCGCCACCAUUUUUGGGAAGGCUAUCCCCCGCAACAUCAUCGACGAUUUGGAGAGGAACGAUGACACUGUGGUGUAGUAUCCGGGCAGGGCGUUGACAGGAGAUGCACUUGAUUCCAUGUCGACUGUCAAUUUGGAGGUGGUGUGCUGGAACGUGAGGGGUCUUAAUAGCCCCAUCAAGAGGAAGGCGUUGAGAGAGUGAUACGCCUCCGCCGUAUCUACUUUUCCGAACUCUUUUGCCCUUGUUUUCGACUCUAAUUUGCAUGAUUUGAAUGGAACUAACCCGGACUAACGCUGUUUUCAGCAGAAUUGCCAUGGUGUUGUUUUUGUGCAGAAAUAAAGUUCUCGGAAUGACCUGAAAAUUUACGGAGAUUUUUAUGGAAUUAAUGAAAAAUAGCUGCGCAAAGAUCCACCGGAGGAGGUGAGCCAGUGGGCCACAAGCCCAGGAGGCGCGACCACCCCCCUAGCCGCGCCUACCAAGCUUGUGGGGCCCACGUUGCUCCAUCGCCUCCAAUCUCAGCUCUAUUUAGUCCGUCUCGCCCGAAAAAAAUCAAGGAGAAGAGUUCAUCGCAUUUUACGAUACGGAGGCGCCGCCACCUCCUGUUCUUCAUCUGGAGGGCAGAUCUUGAAUCCGUUCUGGGCUCCGGAGAGGGGAGAUCGUCGCCAUCGUCAUCAUCAACCUUCCUUCAUCUCCAAUUCCAUGAUGCUCUUCACCGUUCGUGAGUAAUCUCAUCGUAGGCUUGCUGGACGGUGAUGAGUUGGAUGAGAUCUAUCAUGUAAUCGAGUUAGUUUUGACGGGGAUUGAUCCCUAGUAUCCACUAUGUUCUGAGAUUUAUGUUGCUACUACUUUGCCAUGCUUAAUGCUUGUCACUAGGGCCUGAGUGCCAUGAUUUCAGAUCUGAACCUAUUAUGUUGUCGCCAAUAUAUGUAUGUUUUAGAUCCUAUCUUGCAAGUUGUAGUCACCUACUAUGUGUUAUGACCCGACACCCCCGGAGUGACAAUAGCCGAAACCACUCCCGGAGAUGACCAUGGUAUGAGGAGUUCAUGUAUUCACCAAGUGUUAAUGCGUUGGUCCGGUUCUUUAUUAAAAGGAGAACCUUAAUAUCCCGUAGUUUCCAUUAGGACCCCGCUGCCACGGGAGGGAUGGACAAUAGAUGUCAUGCAAGUUCUUUUCCCUAAGCACGUGUAACUACAUACGGAAUACAUGCCUACAUUAGAUUGACGAACGGGAGCUAGUUACUUAUCUCUCCGUGUUAUAGCUGUUACAUGAUGAAUAACAUCCGGCAUAAUCAUCCAUCACCGAUCCAAUGCCUACGAGUCUUUUACUACUGGUCCUUGCUAUGUUACUUUGCUGCUGCUACUGUUACUCUAUUGCUACUGCUGUUACUCUGCUGCUACUGGUUACUGUUGCUACUGCUGCUAUCAUACGACCUUGCUACUGAUACUUUGUUGCAGACACUAAAUCUUUCAGGUGUGGUUGAAUUGACAACUCAGCUGCUAAUACUUGAGAAUAUUCUUUCGCUUCCCCUUGAGUCGAAUCAAUAAAUUUGGGUUGAAUACUCUACCCUCGAAAACUGCUGCGAUCCCCAUAUACUUAUGGGUUAUCAGAGAGUUUGUGGACUCGAUCCGCAUGGUGAUAGUUUGUAUUCUAGAGUCUAAGCUUGAGGCGGUGGACAAAUAUGUAAUAUUGCCAUGCAUGGGGACAAACUAUGAUGGCUUUACUUACCUCCCGACGUAGGCUACUAGGGGAGGCAUAAUUCUGGCAUGGGACUCCUCUAGGGCGCGGAUCUCUAACUUUGUCAAUGACACUAACUUCAUCACCGGAUACGUCUCGCCCACGGAGGGCACUCCAUGGUGGAUAUCCGUGGUGUACAUGCAGCAGGAGGACGAGCAGAAAAUUAACUUCUUGCGAGAAUUAUCGGACCGUAGAUCGCUCUGCCCGGGGCCUUGGCUUGCUAUUGGAGACUUUAACCUAAUCCUACAUGCGGCUGACAAAAACAACCCGAUCUUGGACAGGAGAAUGAUGGGGACGUUCAAACGCUCCGUCGACGAUAAUGCCCUAAAAGAGUUGUUUCUACAUGGAAGGAAAUACAUGUGGUGCAAUGAGAGGGAGGUGCCCACGCUCACUAAAAUUGACCGUGCGUUUGUAUUUGUGGAUUGGGAGCUUGAUCACCCGGACUGUCUCUUACAAGCUCUCUCCACCGCAUCCUCUGACCACUGCCCGUUGCAUCUAGCUAUGGAGGAUCAUGUGCACAUCAAGAGGCGGUUCCGGUUUGAGAGGUUCUGGAUUAACAUGGACGGCUUCAUGGAUGUGGUCCGUGAGGCUUGGGUAUGCGAUGAUAGCAUCACUGACCCUUUCUUGCGGCUCGAUCGCUUGCUCAGGAACACUGCGAAAGAACUGGCGGCGUGGGGCCAAAAGAAAAUUGGGAACAUCAAACUACAGAUCGCAAUUGCGAAUAUACUCAUCCUCCGGUUCGAUUGCGCUCAUGAGACUCGGCUGCUUACUGACAGCGAGAGAUGGCUCAGGAGAACGCUCAAGCAGCUGGUGUUGGGUCUCGCAUCCCUAGUGAGGACUAUUGCUAGACAAAGAUCACACAUAUCCUGGCUGCGCAAGGGAGAUGCCAACACGAAGCUCUUUCAUCUCGUGGCUAAUGGGAGGAGGAUGAAGAACCACAUCUCGGCGAUCACAGUGGAUGGUCAGAUCAUCACUGAUCAGAGGGGGAAGGAGGAGGCCUUCCACCAGGCGUAUCAUGAACUACUUGGGAAGGACGUGGCACGCGAGUUCACCUUAAACCUUGAUGAGCUCGAUGUUGUGCAGGAUGAUCUUUCGGAUCAAGACUGCAUAUUUCAUGAAGAGGAAAUUUGGAAGGUUAUCAAAGAACUGCCCUCCGAUCGUGCGUCAGGGCCAGACGGAUUCAUUGUCAUAUUCUUUCAGAAGGCUUGGGAGAUCAUCAAAGCUGACCUUACUCACGCGCUGCAUAAACUGCUCAUUGGAAAUGGGAGAGGGUUUGGUAGACUAAACCAGGCAUUGAUCACCCUGAUCCCGAAAUCACCGGUGGCUUGCGCGGUGGCGGAUUUUGGACCGAUCAGUCUGAUUCACAGUUUGCCUAAGCUAGCCUCGAAGCUCCUGGCAACGCGCCUUAGGCCUCGCAUGGGGGAACUGGUGCACAUUAACCAAUCGGCUUUCAUCAAAGGGAGAAACCUACACGNNNNNNNNNNNNNNNNNNNNNNNNNNNNNNNNNNNNNNNNNNNNNNNNNNNNNNNNNNNNNNNNNNNNNNNNNNNNNNNNNNNNNNNNNNNNNNNNNNNNNNNNNNNNNNNNNNNNNNNNNNNNNNNNNUACACGACAAUUUCCUGCUGGUUAGACAGCUAGCGCGUGGCCUACAUCGGAGGAAGGCGAAAGGGGUCCUGCUCAAACUGGACAUAUCUAAAGCCUUCGAUUCUCUAUACUGUCCCUUCCUAUUCGAGGUGCUAAGGGCCAAGGGCUUCUCCGAGCGAUGGAUAUCAUGCAUUGCUACCUUACUGACGACGGCUAGUUCGAGAGUGGCGGUGAAUGGUUGUGCUGGUAGCAAAUUCAUCCAUGCGAAAAGGUCUCUCACAAGGGGAACCUAUAUCCCCCAUGUUGUUCGUGCUGGCUAUGGACGUACUCACUUUGAUCAUUAUUAAGGCACAUGAGAACUCUGCUAUUAGCGCCAUGAACGGUUGUAGCCCGAUGCAACGCCUGUCCUUAUAUGUGGAUGACGUGGUGCUUUCCAUCAAACCUACUCGGCCCAAUCUGCAACUCAUGACUGAGGUGUUUCACAUCUUUGGCGUGGCUUCGGGACUAAAGGUCAACUACAACAAAUCUUCGGCUAUCAUGAUCAGGUCGGAGGAUUCAGAUGCGGAGCUUGUCGAGCGUGCGUUACCAUGGAAAAUGGAACAAUUUCCUUGCAAAUACUUGGGGCUGCAGCUAAGCAUCUGACAGUUACGUCGCUCGGAAUGGCAACCGAUUGUAGACGUGACACUUCAUAUUGUGCCGGGUUGGCAGAGGGGAUUGGUGACUAGGCCGGGACGUCUGGUGCUUGUUAACCAGGUCAUGAGAGCUAGGGCCACGCACCACCUGAUGAUUGUUGAGGCGCCCAAAUGGGCUUUGGAGAAAGUGGACAAAGGCUGUCGGGCCUUCUUGUGGGCUCGCACAUAGGGCAUCCAUGGCGGCAAAUGCGCUGUGUCUUGGGAUCGUGUAUGUCGGCCAAAGAGGCUAGGAGGACUCGGCGUGAUCGACCUGUACAGGCACAGGAUUGCCCUCAGAUUGCGCUGGGAGUGGUUGCGGCGUACAGAUGGCUCUAGGCCUUGGCAAGGUCUUAAUCUGGUUCCUGAUAAGCAAGUGGCCCAUGCCUUUGGCAGCAUGGUUAAGUGGAGCUUAGGAUCACGAUCACAGAUUCUGUUCUGGAAAGACAGAUGGAUAAACGGUGCCACGAUCAAGGAAAUUGCACCAUUAGUGGUGGCUAGAGUGAGAACCCAAGUGGCCAACAAGAGAUCGGCAAGAGAUGCACUUCAAAUGCAUGCUUGGACAAAUGAUAUUGUUGGAGAUAUGUGCACCGAAAGCUUGUCUCAGUUCAUCGCGCUCUAGGAGAUUCUUAUCGAUGUGGAGACCGACCCGGGCAGCGAGGAUAAACCGAUCUGGGCCUGGAUUGUGGAUGGAACUUACACGUCAUCAUCGGCUUAUAGGAUGCUUUGCGAGGGGGGGGGGGGGGGGGGGUUCCCCNNNNNNNNNNNNNNNNNNNNNNNNNNNNNNNNNNNNNNNNNNNNNNNNNNNNNNNNNNNNNNNNNNNNNNNNNNNNNNNNNNNNNNNNNNNNNNNNNNNNNNNNNNNNNNNNNNNNGGGGGGGGGGGGGGGGUAGGAGAUUCCAGUCUUAUGCAGAUAUAUGGAAGAGUUGGGCACCCCUGGCUUGCCGGAUCUUCAUGUGGUUGGCAGUGCAAUACCGGCUGUGGACGUUGGAUAUGAGGGCACGACAUGGGUUACAAGACAAUACCUCCCCUUGCUACUUGUUUGAUCAAGAAAAGGAUACAGUCGACCAUAUCCUUAUUCAAUGUGUCUUCGCUAGGCAGUUAUGGUUCCUUUGCUUCUCUAGGAUGUGGCCGGUAUCGCACUUGUGCCCAACUCAGCAUGACACCUUGGUGGAGUGGUGGCAGGUGGUUCGAAAGCGUAUCACCCAGCGCACAUGCAAGGGCUUUGACACACUAGUUAUGCAUGUCAGCUGGAGCCUAUGAAAGCAAAGGAACGACAAAGUUUUCGAUAGGAGUGCUGUCCUAAACGAAAGGGGCACGGUGAAUCUCAUUUUCGAGGAUCUUACGAACUAGACUAUGGCAGGAGCUUCUCGAGUGAUCCGUAUGAUUGAGUAGUACAGUCUAGUUAACUCGGGAGUGGGGGCUGGGUUAGGAUCGACCUGUGAUGCCUAACUAGCGAUGUCGUAAUCUCUUAUACAUAACUUCUGACUUCUAGAAAGCUGAAAAGGUUGUUGUCACUAUUAUUAACAUAAAAUAUUUUCAUUUAUUAAAUGAAUGUAUUUUCUUUAGCGGAUACCUGAAUUAUUUUUGGAACCCUAUGUCGAGAAGGCCCGGAACGAGUCCCACGAAAUGAACACACUUCUCGUUCAGUCCGACAUCCUUUAAAUAGGAGGAUAGCCAAGCCGAGCCGCUCCUACGGAGUCCCACCUCGCCGCCGCCAAACCCUCGCCCUUCUUCCGCCGGAGCCCACCGAGCUCUCCCACUCCAGAAAUUCCCCGAGCGGGAGCUCGCCCCCUCCAACGCCGCGUCCUCCUCCAGCUCCACAGGUAGGCCCUAGGCCCCGGCACAAAUCUUGUGAUUCCACCCAUCUCCACCUCGCAUCCAUGUCUCGGCCGGAUUGGUUCUAGUUUGCUCCCUGUUCAUGUUGUGAUGUCUAGGGUUUGUCUCGCAGGGACUGGUCUUCGGGAGAUUCCCAUUUGUUCCCGCGACCCCGCGCGCAGCAACCCUAGGCGGGCUCGUCCGCCAUGUUUCCGCCGAAAGGUCCCAAUCCCUACGGGCAGCAACCGCCGUACGGCGGGCAGCAAUCUUACGGCGGCCAAAUCGUAUGUCUCUCUCAAAAAAAAAAGCGCUGAUCUGGUAUUUGCUUAGUUGUGUUAUGUCCAGAUUCGUGGCAGGUUCUCAUCUUUUAUGUGCGCAAAAACCUGCGCUCUUUUGCCCUACUUUUGUGUGCAGCCUGGUAGCAGUGGAUUUGGGGCCUCAGGUGCGGCAGGUGCCCGCGCCGGACAGGCUGCUGCUGGGCAGUAUGGAGGGCCUUACGCGUCGGUGUAUGGCACACAGCAGGUGGUUAACUAAUCGCAAUUCACCAACAUUUUUCAAAAUUGGUUUCAAUAUACAAUUUAUUGGCCUCCUAAUGCAGUUCAUGCUCACUACUGUUACUGUGUAAGUUGCUUUGUCAGUCGUUGUUAAUGUGGUGUAUGUAGAGGGGGAAUCUUUAUAGCAAAGGCAAAUAAUGAAGGUUAUUAGCUGCCAGUUUGAUGCCUUUGGAAUGCAAAUGGUAGUAGAACCGCGCAGCUUCAUGCUCUCAUAAAUCUGAUGUAUCCACAUGGACAUCUGAGAUAAAAGAAAGCACUAGGUUUGGCCAGUGCUGAAGAGGCUGGCCAGGAUUAUUAGUUCUAGCUCAAAUAAAAUUAUCUAAAAUGUUGCUGUGUGAAUCCAAGUAAAACUAAGGUGUCCUCCUGGACCUGAUUUUUUUUGUUUAUCCUUACCCUUAUCCACACGAAGAGCAACUAGUAUUAUAUUAUCCCGGAAGUGUGCCUAUUUUUUUUUUUUUUGGAUGUUUAAAAGGUCACUGAUUCUGUUAGUCCAGAAAACCUAGGAAUUGAUAAUGGCCCUGUGAGAUAAUUGUACAAAAUGAGAGCCAGAUCUCUACUCAUCCUGAAAGAUAAGUAGCAAUGAUGCAGCAUCUAGCUCAUAUGCCCCUUUUGAGUGACCCAUGCUAUCGCCCGUCAUAAUCUAUUGGUUCACACUAGAAUAUUGCUCUGAAAGAUGCCUCACCCAAUGUCCAAAACAUACUAGUUAUGUAUGUGUUAUGCAUCAUUCUAUAUCUUGAUAGUGAGGUUUAAGCUUCAGCUUAAAACUGCAAGAAUCUGGAGGAUUGCAAGUAAAGGUUGCUCUCAAGCCAUCUCCACCUUGCCCCUCCCCUGCAUAAGUCUGUCAGAUCAUGUCCAAACUGUUUAGUGGUGUUAAGACUUGUGAGGGUUUUUGCAAACUAGAUAUAUUUCUGAUUUUCCACCGCAGAUAGGAAUCAAUGGGCUGAUUCUGUAGCACUUAUUUACAGCUACAUAAGCCCAAGGUCAGCUUUUUGUUCUUGCUGUUUCAUUCUUUGUGCCGCAUAAUUACCAGGUAAUUUGAUGUCUGUUUCAUUUUGUAAGUUCUUCUUGUCUCCCAAAUAAGAAUAUGACAAAAUAUAAUAGAUCCCACCAAUUACCAUUUCAUUUACAUGAAUGCCCCUAUCAUACUGAUUAAUGGCAGGAUAGAGUAGAAUAUGGUUUGACCAAUUAUCAUUGUAUUUACGAUAAUGCACUACUAAAAUAACUGAGCUUGCACUAGGCAUGUCAUAUUCAAUAUUUCUGAAAAAAGCAAUGCUAGAGCAUUUCAGCAUCCAGAAUUUCACAAUAUGGGGGCCUCUUUUAGACGAGGAAUGCAUGUUCAUGUGAGUUGUCUAUGUUAACUGACUUGGUGUCCUGGCAGUACCUCGAAGCAGAAAACAGAGCAAGUGCUGGAAUAAUUUGCUGGCUAGUCCACUAAACUGUAGUUGGUAGUCAUGUAGUAUCGCACAUAGCUUAUCCGUGUAUCAAGGAAUCAAAUGAUCUGGAAAAAGAAUACAAAAACUCUUUUAGGUAAAUAAGCUUUUCCUGGGAUAAACUUAUCUUAUGUGGCAUUAAACUUAUAUAUACUUGCCUUCACAUAAUAUUUGUGCUUUUGUGCAUUUUGUCAGAUUUAACGUGUUAAGCCAUUUUGCCGGUAGUUCGUGAAGAGCGGAUACUAGGAAGAGAUUUCUGUUAACCAGUCGUGUCUUUUUCUUUUGUUAUUUCCGAGUUUGUAUUUUUUAGGCCUUGUCUCAAUGUUGAUCUCAACUCUUUGUUUCAGCUGUAUUUGUAUGUUGAUUACUUUCUUCCAUGGUCAGAUCUCACCUCCUUUUAGUUUCAAGUGUCACGACUGUUCCAUGAGUUCUGUGCAUGAUAUCUUGACUGAAUAUCUGAUUUUUUUUUUGCAGGUUGGGGGACUUGGUAGCAAAGGUCCGGAUUCUUCUAGUCUUCCUAGCCUGCCACCUCAUACAUCUUCACUAUCUCAGUCAUCCAAGUUCUCGUCUGGAUCUGCAGGGUCUAACUUGCCAAGACCAAAUGAUGACUAUAUGGCUGUGCGUGGAUAUGCACAGAAGCUAGACCAGUAUGGUACUGAUUACACAUCAGAGAGAAGAAUGUAUGGUGAACACUCAGCUAAUCUUGGCAGGAGGGAUGGCCUUACUGAUUUGGAUAGAAGAUAUCCUGAUCAUAUACCUGCAGCCCAUCAGGUAUAUAAUGUGUGCUCACUUUUUUUGGGGGUUUUCCCCUUAAUUUAGUUAAUUUAGCAAACAUAAUCUUAUGACCACAUUUUUUAUAUCUCAGAUUCAUGACCGUGUGGAGCAGGUAGCAUUCGUCUUUCCCUUACAAAACUAUGGUCUGCUCUCUGUUAUGGCCUAUAAUUAUGUCUAUUCUGUUAAUCUUUUCAGGGUUCAACAAUGCGCCACCAGCCACUUCUGAAAGCUCAGCUGCCGCCUGUGUCUGAUAUGAGGUACGUUAGCUCACAGCCAGGUCACUUAUAUUGUUCAGGUUUUCUAUCCACAUGGUAGACCAUAGUCACUCUCAGUUUAAAAAGUGCAUCAAAUGAACGACUAUGUGCAUGUUCCAAACAUCUCUGCUUAGGACUAAAUUUUGUUAGUUAUUUUAAUUAAUGUACCUCACCGGCCCUUUUGGAAAGCUAAAUUAGCGAUCCUUUGUGUGUUUAUCACUGCAAAAAAACAUAGCACAUGCACUGAGUAAAAUAUGCAUUUCUGGCAGACAAGCCGAUUACUUUGCAGGAAGGUCCGCUCCAAUCCAUCAAGAAUCUCAGGAAAUUAGUACAUAUGGAAGGGCUGAAGCUGACCAUCGCAACUUGUCCAUUCUUGGGAAUGUUCCAUAUGGAGGACAACAAACAUCUUCAUUGUUGGGAGGCGCCCCUAGGACAAACAUUGAUAGUCUUGGCUAUGGGCAAGGAUCAUCAAGCAGUGGUUAUGGGAUGGGUCUGCCCCCGGGGCGUGACUAUGCCUCGGGGAAAGGCCUUCUCCAUCCAUCUUCAGAUUCUGAUUACCGUGACAACAUCUUACCCCGUGCACGUCCAGGCAUCUCCAUGGUUGAUGAACGUGCAAUUGACCGGGUUGGUUAUCGUCGUGAGCUGGAUCUAAGAGAUGAGGAACGUCGAAGGGAUAUGCUACUUGAAAGGGAGAAGGAGCUUGAACGGGAGCGGGAACGGGAGCUGCGAGACCUUCGAGACCGUGAAAGAGAAAGAGACCGUGAAAGAGAAAGAGAACGUGAAAGGGAAAGGGACCGUGAAAGAAUAAGGGAACGUGAAAGAGAAAGGGAGCGGGAGCGUCAAAGGGAACAUGAAAGAGAACGUCUUCGCGAGCGCCGCGAGAAGGAGAGGGAGCGGAACAAGAAGCAUGUAGCUGAUUCAAGGCGUGAGCGCACUCCACCUAGAACCCCUGGUGAUCGACGACGUUCUUCUUCUGUUAAGUCUGAGAAGCCUUUGCGGCGCCUUUCACCUCGACGUGAUGCUGUGCAUAGGUGUCUCCAUGUUCUCUCUAGCUUUGUGGAUGCACUUCGUCUUUGGUGCAGCCUUUUAAACUAACACUUUCGUUUGUUGUCCUGAAGGCAUCGUUCGCCUAUUAAAGAAAUAAAGAGAGAAUAUUUGUGCAAGGUAAACAAACAGUUGUGUUCGUCACAGUGUUCUUGCGAAAAUCAAUUGAUAGUAUUAAUUCUUUACGUGCCUCCUUGAUGCACUCUGGUCUCCAGUUUCCUUUACUGCUGUCCUUGUAUCUCUGUGAACUUAUGCGUCCACUCUUGGAAGUAAUAUCUGAGAGAUUCUGGGUUCCACUUAUCCAUCUAUCUACACCAAUCCUUGUUUUUGCCUUCCUAGCCACUUUCUCUUUUCUGUUACCACUUAUCUGGAGAUUUCUGGUUCCUUACUCUUCCACUUUGGAUAAGUUGGAAGACUAUUUACACCUUAAGCAUAGAUUGCACCAGAGUGGGUAUGAUUGAGCAAUCACGGAGAUGUCUUCCAUCCUCCAUUUCUCUCUGUCUCCUUUAUGUGCAAAUAUCAUAUUCAGUAUGUUCAGUUAUGCAGCAGUUUUAGUCUGAUGCCCAGUACGAACUCGUUGCUAAUUGGGCUGUCUGCUGCAGGUUUUGCCAUUUCGUUUUGUGGAUGAUGAGAGAGACUGUUUAUCUUUGACAAAAAGAUAUCCUAGGCUAUCAGUUAUUCCAGAUUUUUCUAAGGUUUGACAUUCUAUUCAUGACUGUUGAAAAUCAAAACUCAACGUGAAAUCAUGGUACUGUAUGAGUUUUUUUUGCCUUACUUGUGAUUUACUUGUUCUGUAGAUUGUCUUGAAUUGGGCUAAAGAAAGCCUAAAUCUUUCGCUGCAUACACCAGUGAGGUAUGCUUGCACUGUUCUCUUUGUUUUCUUGCUAAAUGUUCUUGAGCUUCCUAUUAAUGACAUGUUUUAUACUGUGUUGCUGCCACUGCUGUAAAAUAGUCUGGAGCAUGCCAUCUGUGAAGAUGACGAUAAAGCUGAUGAAAGCGCACUGGUCUCUUCUGAGAACGCAUCAAGCACAAAGACCCCUGAAACCAUUUGGAAUGCAAAGGUUUUUAUGUUUAUAACGUCGUGUUCAUUUUGGAGUAUGAAUUAAAGCUGUAGUUGGUUUGAGUAGUAGCUCCCGAAAUAAGUAGCGAUAGUGUUUAUUUGAGUGAAUUGUGUCAUUGUGCAUGCUAUAGCAAUAUUUGUAGAAAGCAUGUGGUAUAAUUGUCGUGGGCAUUAAUACUCAUGUUCGUAGAAAAUUAUUGCUUGCAAGUAUAUGACGUGCAACCUGUGCUGCUGACCUGCAUUAUCCAAGGGUUUCAUGGUCUUCCUCUUGAUCAUGCUUGCCACUUGAGCAAUCUUUUGAGAAAUGCUAGUCCGAAUCUAGCUUUUUGUAGGACGAAUUUCCCUUGCAUGAAAAAUAUGCCUUCGUCAUUCCAUCGCAUUGUGACAUAGAGACGUCUCAGAAAAUAAAGUUGUGCUAGUACAAUUUUCUGUUGCAUAUUAAUAUAGUUAUUGCGAUGCUAUGAUUUAUAUGUCUCCAUGGUGGUCCAUCGUGUGCUCACCCCUAGCCUUUGCCUAGUCUUUUUUCUUUGAAACUGGAGGAAAGUUUUCGUGGCAUUUGUACUCAUCUGAUAUUGUAAAAAAUCACAAGAGUCUGUCUUGGGAUUGACGUUAGCUCGAGUUUUGUUUUUAGUGCUUUUAAGUAAUCCAAAGAAGAAAAAUCCACCUCACGUUUGGCCGGAUAUAGAGGCACUUAAGUUAUGCUGUUUGUACUACCUUACAAGGUAACUCCAACCAUCGUGAAGUAAUUUCCUUCUGUGCUUACAUAUAUGCCCAUGUGCAGGUACUUCUGAUGAGCGGUAUGAGCAAUGGUGCCUUUGCUGACAUAACGUCGAUGAGAAGUACUGAGGAACGAGUGGUGCACUUGAACAAUAUCUUAAAAUUUGCUGUAUUCAAGAAGGAUCGUUCACUUCUUGCUAUUGGAGGCCCUUGGAAUGCAGCACUUGAUGGUGGAGAUCCAUUGGUUGACUGUUCUUGCUUGAUUCGAACCGCUAUCAGGUAUGCCUUGAUCAAGUAAAUGCACCAUGGAUAACUUGCAACUCUAAUUGUAAAUGCCUUGAUCAAGUAACCUAUCUUGUUGGACAGAUAUGUGAAGGAACUGGUUCAAGUUGAUCUAUCUAAUUGUACUAGUUGGAAUCGUUUCCUUGAGGUACUUCUAAACCUAUCUCAGCAUCUUCUAGGAACUGUAUUUCUUGAAUAUAUUCUUCUUUGGAUGGAAAACAUCAUCCUUCCAUCAUAUACCUUUUAUUUAAUUGGUCAUAUCUGGAUUCUCCUCUGAAUCGUAGAAGCGCAAACACAUAUAUUCCUAUAUGCUUUGUUCCAAAACUCUAUAAUGCACAUUUUACAUUAUGAAUCUUUAACAAUCAGUUUGCUUCCUGUUAAUUUGUUUGACAUUUCUCUGUUAUUUGUGUUUUAAAAUCUUCCCUAUCCGAAAUGACAAUAUUCGAAAGGAUAUUUGUGCUAAUAAUCGUCAGAAUAUUAGACAUUAUGACUGGUAACUGGUCAGUUGCAAAUGCGAUAUCAAACCCUACUCGUAUGUGGUUUAUUGGCUCUUCCAUAGGAUAAUAUGAGAGCAUUUACUCCAGUAAUGAAGUCAUUCGCUUUUCAAGGCAUGCUAUUAUUGCUGAAGUCAUCAGCAUAAUGUAAUACACGUGUUAUGCUGUAGGUCCAUUACAACAGAGUAGGCAUUGAUGGACUCUUUAGUCACAAAGAAAUUACUGUACUUUUUGUGCCAAACCUGUCGGAAUGCGUACCAUCUUCGGAUAUAUGGAGGAACAACUGGAUUGCAUACCGAAAAUCAAAGAUAGAAAGGGAGCAGUUGAAUAUGAAGAAGGAAAAGGUAAGCUUGUGGUUACUAUUAUAACAUACUUUGUUUUCUUCUGAAACAUCACUAAUAGUUCUGACUUCCUGUUGCAUUUUAGAGCCCAAGUGAUCCAAAGGAACAGAAACAAGGUUUGAAAGAUCCUCACUUAUCAUUUCACUGCCUUUUCCUUGUCUAAUGAAUAAAAUAAUUGAUCCUUGUUUAUUUGUCAGCAGUUUUAGAGGAGCCAAGCGAGGCUAAAAGUAUGAAUGAUCAAUUGAAGGAGGGUGAUGGCGCUGUUAAGAUUGAGAAAAUUGAUGCUGAUAUGGAACUUAAGGAGGGUGAUGGUGCUGCCAAGAUUGAGAAAANNNNNNNNNNNNNNNNNNNNNNNNNNNNNNNNNNNNNNNNNNNNNNNNNNNNNNNNNNNNNNNNNNNNNNNNNNNNNNNNNNNNNNNNNNNNNNNNNNNNNNNNNNNNNNNNNNNNNNNNNNNNNNNNNNNNNNNNNNNNNNNNNNNNNNNNNNNNNNNNNNNNNNNNNNNNNNNNNNNNNNNNNNNNNNNNNNNNNNNNNNNUUGAUGCUGAUAUGGAAGAGCAGGUCAAAGAUAGAGAUGUCAAUCUUGCUGGUGAUGGUGGCAAGAAUCCUGACAAUGUUGGGGAGCAAGUUGAGAAGACAGUGAGGGUUGUUGAAGGAAACGCUUCUGGUGAUGCUACUGUUGACCAUGUCACCGAGGAUAAAAAGCCCAUGAAGAAGAAAAUAAUAAAAAAGGUUGUGAAAGUUGUUCGAAAAAAGCCAACUGCUGAAGCUCCAGUGGAUAAAUCGCCUCAGGUUGACAAGAAUGCCGUGGCAGAAACUGCGAGCAAAACCGUCGAAAAGCACAUUGAACAAAAAAGUGAAGAUCUUGGGGAAGAGAAGGCGGGAGCUGGCAUUGGUCAACAGCCUGAGGCUAAGAAAACUGGGAAGAAGAAGGUAAUUCGAAGGAUUGUUAAAAGAAAAGUUCCUGCUUCAGCGACUGAGCCAACAGCCCUUGCUGCACCUGCUGAAGCAAGUAAACAAGAUGUGGCUGUUCAGCCGGAGAAGUUUGAUGAAGUCCCCACCGAUGCUGGGAAUUCACAGACUAAACUGGAAGAAGGAUUGAAAACUCCUGCUNNNNNNNNNNNNNNNNNNNNNNNNNNNNNNNNNNNNNNNNNNNNNNNNNNNNNNNNNNNNNNNNNNNNNNNNNNNNNNNNNNNNNNNNNNNNNNNNNNNNNNNNNNNNNNNNNNNNNNNNNNNNNNNNNNNNNNNNNNNNNNNNNNNNNNNNNNNNNNNNNNNNNNNNNNNNNNNNNNNNNNNNNCCUGCUGAAGAUACCUCAAAUCAGAAGAAAGAACAGGAGUUGGAGAUAAAGGGAGACAUAAUGACUGAUGAUCAGAAGGCAAAUAUAGAUAAGGUGCAGGAAGUUGUGGAACAGAAAGAUGCAAAAAUUGCUGAAACAGAUGGGAAGAGUGACAAGAAAAAUGAUGACAGCGAAGCAAAGGAUAAAGACCAGAAGCUGGAGAUAAAGGGAUACACCAAAGAAAAGAAGAAGUCUGAUGAACCUCCGAAGCACCCAGGAUUCAUUCUCCAGGCCAAAAAGAGCAAAGGAUAUAAAGUAUGGUCCUCAUGCUAUGUAGUUAUCUUUUUUAUUUCAUACUCCCUCCGUCCGGNCGUCCGGAAUUACUCGUUGCAGAAAAUUUCUGCGACGAGUAAUUCCGGACGGAGGGAGUAUAAUACUAUAAACUAUAAUUCAAUCAUGGUUUUAUGGCCCAUGAGAUCUUAUUGAAUGAUUUUCAUUUGCAGUUUCGUUCAACAUCCCUUUCAUUGGAUGGCCUCCUGGACUACACCGCCAAUGAUACAGAGGAGUCUGUAUUCGAGGUCCAUUUUCUGCUCUGGCUUCUGUAAAAAAAUGCUAAUUGUCAUUACCAGUGAUCACUACCUCUGCAUUUUUUUCUUCGGCAAAUAUCUCUGUCUUUCUGUAUUUUUUGCUUCUACCUAUUUAUGAGCAUAACACAAAGAAAUUAGUUAAUUGCUUUUGAUAUUGAUGAUUGAUAUGUUCCUCUGUUACUUUUUCAGCUUUCUUUGUUUGCUGAGUCUUUCAGCGAAAUGCUUCAAUACAGAAUGGGUUGUGUGAUUUUGUCUUUUCUUGAGGUAACUUCUAUGUGCUCUGACUAUGCUUUGUAAGCUUUGAAACACAAUCAGCAGUUUGUUUUUCAUUCAAGUCUACUUCCAUUUAACUUUGAAGUUUGGUAGUCGAGUAUGCUUGCAAGAAAAUGCCCGGUAGCUUGGGUCAUAACUGAAAAUCCGACUUCUUUAUAUUAUUACCAAAUUUUAGGAUAAUUGUUUCCUCUAAUGGUCCAAAUUGGGACUUGGAAGUUUGUAACCUGGUAGGUCAUGGUAGUUUUUGUGGAGUACUAAGCAAAUAAUUGAUUGCUUCAUGAGGGAAGCAGAGCCGCAUCCAGUAGGUUUUGGUAGUGACCUUUUUUCAGUUUUCCUCAUGUAGCUUGUUUUGUCUACACAGAAACUUCACAGGCAGUAUGUCGUGAAGAGAAAUCAACGUAAGCGGCAAAGAGAGGAAGAUCUGAAGAAGGAAGAUACAAAAUCCUCGGAGAAGCGACUCAAGACAACUGAUGAGAAUGUAACUGGAAGUACCUCAGGUAACCCGGGUAAAAAUGAUGAAACAAUAAAAGAGGGUGGAGAGAAGAUAAUUAGCGAUAAUUCAUCAGCUUCACAUGAUCAACUUGUAAAAGAGGAUGAGGAGAAGACGGGUACAGAUCAUGCUGCCCAGGAUGAAAUGAUGAAAGAGGGUGAGGAAAAGAUCGACACAGAUCAGUCAGCAGCUGCCCAUGAUGAACCUGAAGCUGAUGAGAAAAUGGAGGAAGAAGAUCCUGAAUAUGAAGAAGAUCCCGAUGAAGUAGAAUAUGAAGGUGACGAGGACAUGGAUGAUGCCACUGCUGAAGAGCCUGCAGAAGCACAGGUAAUUACUCUCCGUACCCUUUUGCACCACACAUCUAUUCGCUCGUGUUGCUUAAGAAACUACUCUUUGUAUUACCGGGUGGUCUUUUCCUUUAUAACACCAUGGAUGCUUUUUGAUUUGCCCAUGUCCCCUCUCAUGUAAAAUUCACUUAACUUUUCCACUAGUUUUCAAAUAAUGUAUUUCCAAAAUAUGGAAGUAUAGCUUUCUACAUGUGGAUCAUAUCCAUUUAGUUCUAACAGAAAUGAAGGGUAGUGGGAAGCUGGAAGCACCAACUCAUCAAGCUCAUUAUGAAGUGGAGUAGUGUUAGCUCACUUUUCAAGGCUAAUUGCUCUAGUUUUAAGUCUGGAUUAUGUCUGAGAGCUUACACCAAAUAAUAUACAUAAAUAUAAAUAUAGAUAUUGAGAUUUCUCUAGUGAAAGUAGUAUGUAGGAAGCACUGAUAUGGGGACAUGGGCACUGGGAUGAUGGGACAUGCGACAUGGAUAUGGCAUUUUUCAGAAACAGCCUUAUGGGGAUAUGACGAGUUUAUAUAAAAAAGCAAGAAAACACUGCAUGUAAUAAGGGUAAAUUUGUACUUUGAAGAUGUGAGAUCAAAGUACUUCUGUUUGUUUUCUCUCUAUUGCCUUUUCAUCUAUAGAAAAUUCAAGUUAGACAAAGAAUAAAGGCAGAGCUACUAGCUAUUAUGGAUGAGUACAUGCUAGCAGCUGAGCAAACAAGGCCAAAACAUAGAAGGAAUGUGGGAGGUGGAGACACCUGCUAUCUGGGUAAAGGAAGAAAGCGGCUGCCAAUGUAGCGGGAGAAGGCGGAGAUGAUCCAAGGCGGCGACGGCAUGGAGGUGUUCCUGGUGCCAACUUUGCGCAGAGGAAGACAGGAAUGACGGUGACCAGCGAGUACAGGCGAUGGUGGUGGCGGCGAUUGUGAGUAUAGGCGGUGGCGGUGCGGUUGCUGGAGCUAGGAUUUGGACAUCGCGAUCCCUGUAGAGAUGGUUGGGCCAUCAUCAUGCACUACUCAAUAUCUAGGGUUUGUAUCGAGUUGGGGCCUUACUGGGCUGCCUUGUGUCCCUUACAUACCCCCCCCCCCCCCCCCCCCCACCCCACCNCCCCCCCCCCCCCCCCAAAAUCACACGGAUAGGCAUUUCUUUUAUUUUUUAAUAAAACAAAUGUGAUACUUGAGGAUAUGCGCCUGCCAUAUCCCUAUAUUGCUGGCGUCCUGAACGGUGAUGAAAGAGGAUAACGCAAACUGUUCUUACCUGUGUCACUUCAUUAACCUCUGCUGCAGAAUGAGGAUAACGCAAAUGAAAGAGAAACCAAACCAGAAGAGGUAACUGCAGAAGAGCCAGAAGAUGAUGGAAAGAGGACAACGGAGAGUCUUAAAUUGGAAAAAGUUGCAGAAGAGGGCAAGCAGUCUGCAGCAGAGAAAGGAGAUUUGAAAGAACUUGAAGGGAAAUCAGUUGUUAAGGAGGGAAAGAUAUCUGGAUCACAAAAAGGAGAUUCAGCGAAACAUGAUGUGGUUGAUAAGGACCUGUUGCAGGUACUUUUGCUGCCCCGUACAAGAGAUUAGGAGUUGCAUUAAAAAUUAAACUCUGUCUGUUACAUGCAUCCCAGUUUAUUGCUAACAUAUGAUGUUCUUUUCCGUCUUUAGGCUUUUAGGUACUUCGAC
rnacentral:lncRNA from 1 species